rnacentral:lncRNA from 1 species
GUUUCGGGUGGCGGAGAAGUGGGUAAUUUGGAGACGGGGUUGGGGAGGUAGUUGAGGAUUGUUAGGCCUGGAGGGGUUUUGGGAUCACGGCCGCGGAUACCGAGGGAAACCCAGUAGUUCUCCGAUGGUUUUUGGUCGGUGUUGAUGAGGACGGAGUAAGAUUCGCCGGAAUAAAUGUCGAUGUCGGAAGUUAGAAAUGGUUGAACGUAGUUGCCGUCGGCUUCUACCACUAAUAGUUUGUGCUUCUGAAGAAGAAAAAAGAAAUUACUAUACAAUUUUAAAAAUAAAUAAAUUCUGAAUAAUUAGCAAGUUGAAUUUGACGUUUUAGUUUUAAUACACAUAGUAAAAAGAGAGAGAUAGUUACGUACCCCGAUGGCAAAGUUGAGGGCAGAGAGUGAAGUGGUACUUGUAAUUCUAAUCCUAUAAAUCUUAUUGGGUUUGACUUCGAGGAUAAAAGGUGCACAUUGUUCACUUCCACUCAACUUACAUUGCUCCAUUUUCUUCAUGUUCAUGUAUUUAGCUGCAAUUGAACAAUUGCUUUGCCCUCUCCCAUUUAUGAGUAUGGACUUUGAACAAGAAGAAGGGGACAUAAAAAUACAUUUAAUUAAACCUCUCAAAUAGCAUUAAUAGAAUCAACAAGAGAAAGUACAAUAAUUAUAUCCCUAACAAAAUAAUUUACCUAAAUCCAAUUAACCAAAUCAAAACCCUUACGACACUUUAUCUUCUAUUUAGGUUGGUUUAAUUUCCAAUUCUUUUUACUUUUUUUAACUUCAUUACAUGGUGAGAUUUCAUCUAAGGAUAUUAUGGUAACUUUUGAAAAUAAUAUAAAAUGUUUUUUUUUAGAAAAAAUAAUUCAACAAUGAUAAUUGGAAGUUUGCAAAAAAGUUUAAGAAACAAUGUCUAAUAUAAAAAGUAAUUGUUAUGUGUAUAACAAAAACCAUGUUUCAAGCAAGUAAGGUAUUUAUAAGAGGGACAAUAUUACUUUCCUCAAUAUGUUUUAUUUUGGUAGAAAUUAUACCUUAUGUUAUUUAUGUGUCUCAAAAAGAGACAUAUAUGUUUGAUUUGUUGUUUCUUUUAACGGAAAAAAAAAAAAAAAAACUAAACGUGUUCGAACUCUUAUAGUUUGAGCUAUCUUGUGUUUUUAGUGUAGAGUAAGAGAUUUAAAUCAAUUUCAAUUUUUAGAGAUAAAAGUAAUGUGAAUGUCAAUGAAUCAAACUCACUCCGUUAUGUAAUUUUGACGUUGAAUUUUAUUGGAAAAUUGUUUUAAAUGGUAAAACGGUUGAAAAUACUUAUAAAUACAAUAAAAUUUCAUGGGCUUUCAGUCAUAGACAACUAUCCAUGAUAUUUUGCUAUAUUUAUAAAUAUUUUUGUUUAUUUUGUUAUAUUUGAAAACAAUCUAAUUUUAUAAAAUGUUUUAGUUAUUUUUUUGUCUAAGGAAGUUUUGUUUUUAAAAUGCCAUUGAGAGAAUAUUUUGUGGACAUUUUUGUUUGUUUGUAGUUAAAGCAGCAAACAUUUUGAAUAUUAAGAAAUAAUUAUUAAAAGUAUAAUUAUACCAUUUCGACAAAAAAAUCUAACAUUAGUUUAGUUAGAUAAUUAUUAAUAAUAAAGUAUAAUUAUACCAAAUUGCUACCUAACAAUACUUUUAUUUUUUGCUUUAAAAAAAAUAUAAGCUUAUAAUAUUAUUUUCACAAAUAAUUAUCUUCAUUAAUUUUAUUAAUCUACCAUUUAGAUAUACAAAAUCAAAGUUUUGAUAAAUAAAUUUGUAAAAGUAGAUUUUGUUGUAAAAAUUUAACAAAAGAAUCCUACACAAAUGUUUCAAUUAUCUCUCUUUUCAUUUGAGAUAUGCUUUAUUUUUAUACAUAAAAUUUUAAUUUAAACACUGUCCUUCAAAAAAUAUCCUAAAAUAUAAUAUUGAAACAAACUCCAUAAUUCUUUCUUUCUUUAAUUUCUUCUUCUUCUUCCUUUUUUUUUUUUUUUUUUUUUUGGUUAAAGUAGGACUUAAUUUUUAAACCUUGACCAUGAUGCCAAUAUUCAUAUUUUUGAACUUGUAGAAAUAAAAACACUCUCAAAGGUGUAUAUAUAUAAUAAUAAUAAUUUUCAAAAUAAAUAGAGGGAAUAUAAAUGAAAGUUUUGUUAGAGAAGAGUAUAGAAAACCUACCUCACAUCUCAUGAAUAUUCAGUAUAAUUUAAGAAAAUAUCAUAUUUGAUGGUUAGUCCAAACAUAAUUAGGAGAUAAAGAUAUAACUUAAACUACCUGUGGUUCACCAAUCCAACGCAUUGGGCUAGAGCUAAGGCCAAUUUCUUGCUUUAGAAUGCUUUCGUGCCACCAAUCACUAAGCAACAAGUUGAUUUCUUCGUCGUAAUGGAACGGCUCUUUCUCUCCUUCUUCUGGAUCCACUAUCAAGGAUCCAUAUAACCCAGCCGCUCUCUGCAUACCCAAAUGACCAUGAUAGAAAUAUGUCCCAGGCUGCCAAACGCAAGUUCAACAAAACAAAUAAAUUUUGUUAGAGAUUAUAUUUUAUGUCACUUUAUUCAGCAUCGACAUUUCGAAACCUUCUCACCUUAUCUACUACGAACUGGUAAGUGAAGGAUUCGCCUGGGUUAGUCGCACACUGCGAGAUGGAAGCAGUGCCAUCGGCCCAGGGAGUUCCCUUCUGUAGGAUUCCAUGCCAAUGAAUGACAACAUCUUCAGUGGAGAGCUUGUUAAUCAUCUCUACAACCACAGUGUCACCAACAUUGGCUCUAAUAGUUGGCCCGGGAAACUGGCCGUUGAUUCCCAUGACGAGGUUUUCUUUACAGUCCGGGGACCAAAACAUGUAUUCAACUUCCCAUGUGUAGUGUCUAGUUUGGGAAACAGCAUCAGAGAGAGUUAUUCCAAACCCAAAAAUGAUUGACAGAAGAAAGAACAUGGCUGGAAAAGGCAUAGGAAACAAUGGCUGAUUUGCAACUUUUGUUGCCAUCUCUUGGUAAAGAGAUGGAAGGGAAGAAUAAUAAUGCAAUGAGCAAAAAAGAGGAAAUUGGGAGUGGGAAGUUUGUGGAAGAUACCACUGCAAUUUACCAACGGCUCCUCCUUAAUUUAUAAUGAAAUUUUGUGAGGUUUUGAUAAUACAAAUUUAUGUCAACUUAUUUUUUCUUUUGUCUUCAUUUGUUUGAUACUUUUUUUUAUUGGUUUUAUAGUUCUAAAGGUUUUUUCUUCUAUGGAAAACUUGACGUUUAUAUGAUGGAUAUUGAGAACCUAGAGAGAGAUUUAAAUGUAGAAGUUUGUUUGGAUGUUUAAUUUUUUUAAUUAAAAUGUAUGUAUAACAUAAUAUAAUAACUUUUUUUUAAGAAUUUGCAUAGUAGAAAGGUACUGAAAUUAUGUGUUAUGUAAGAUUGUCUUUGCUAAGCUUUAGGUAAUCUAGAUACUAUUAAUUUCAUAUAAUAAAGUUUAUCUAAAUUUUUUUUAAGCUGAAGUAAAUUUAUUUGUUCUAACAUUUUCAUCUUAUAUUUUUAUAUCAAUUAGUUUAUAUUAACUUUAUUUUUUUUGUUUUUUUUAUCAUAAAUAAAUUUAUAUUAUAUAUUUUUUCAUUUAUACAUAUUUUAUAUUUCACAUUUUCAUUUUUUUAUUUAAACAUGAAUUUUUAAUGCAUGCAUGAGAGUCUUUCUAAAUACAAAAGUAUUAUGCCUAAAAGAAUAUACAAACGUAUUAGGUAGUUGUGGGAAAGAUAAAACGAACAUUGUAGUUUAAUAUAUAAUUAAAAAGAAUCCAAAUAUUAUUUGACUUUAUCUAAAGUUAAUUAUUAAUUACAUAUAAUUAAUCACAACCUUGCAUUAAUUUAUAUUUAUAUAAAAACAAGUGAAAUAGAGAAAGUGGAUAAAAAAAAAAAAGAAAAAUCCACCAAACUCAAUCAAAAUAUCAAUUUCUUUUUGCUAUAUUUUUCUAUCUCUAACGAUUUACCUAAAAAAAUGAGAAAAAUGAUGGGAAAAGGGUUAGUAAAAGAUUCUUCAAAACAUGAAAAGUCUUAAGAACCGUGAUUAAAAUAGAUAUUAACAUUAAUAAAAUGUUUGGUUAUAAUUAGAAAUAUUGAGGUUUCAAACCUUACGAAAAUAUCAAUAAAAAAUUUGAAUAAAUUAUGGAAUGAAAUCGUUAUAAUUAAUUAAUAAAAGUACUUUUAUUGUGACUUAAUUAGAAUUAACCAUUUUUAAUAGCAAUGUCUAUAAAGUAAGACAACCAUUUAGGUGCCUAUUGUUAGUGCAUGUGCAAAUGUUAAUAAGAUAACCUAGAUUUAAAAAUAAAUGGAAAAGUAGUUACCCAAGUUUAAGAAUGCUUUCGAGUGAAAUAUUCCACGAGGUUAAAAGUAAGUUGAAUUUUUUGGUUGGAGGAAAAAUACAAAUAUAACAAUUAUAUAAUCAAAAUAAUUAAACAUACAACAACAUUUUAAAAAAAUUAUAAAUAUAUAGCAAAAUCUAUUAAAACCUGUCAAAGAAAGAGUUAUCUCAAUAGAUUUUGCUAUAUUUAUAAAUUUUUAAAAAUGUUUUUAUAUAAUUAAUAAUUAUUUCUAAAACUGCUAUCCAUUAUAAUUAUCCUAAUUAAAAUUUAGAGCUCUUCCUCUAAAAUUUCGAUUUAUAUUGUCCAUGACUUUCCUACGUGUCAUUCAUUAUUGUUAUAUUUAUUUAUAUUAGUAGGUUAAAGAGUUGACCUUUUACUAUAUUUAAUAUUAUUUAUUAAUAUGUCAAUAUGAACUUUUAAUUAAUUUAAGGAAGCCCUAAUAAUUCCAUUAAGAGAUUUUUUUUUUCAUCAAUAUAUAUAUAAUGUAUUUUUAACAAAGCUAUAAUAGAGGUUGAGAUUAGAAGAAAAGUCUUCUAAAGUAAAACAAUGAGAGACAAAACAAAUAUAGACAAAAAAAAAUCAUAAAAUUGCAUCACACACAAGAUCAAACGAACCAAAAAUAUUUUUUAAAAAUUGAAUAUUCAAUCUCACUCUCACAUGUUACUUCAAAUUAAUGUACUCAUUAACUAAUAAAAGUACUUUACCUAUAUAUAUAUAUAGGACAUGAGGUUUUUUAAAAAAAAAAUCAUUAUCGACGCCUUCUCCUCUCAUCGUCUAUUUUAAAAAAAAAGUCUACACAAAUACACGUGUAAGAAUUUAUUAUAUAAUAAUUUUAUUUAUUAAAAAUUUAUAAGAUGUAAAUCGAUCCAUAUCUAAAAGUUUAGAACUAAGGGCUAAAGUUACGUAAUUUUAUAAUUACGUUUGGUGAUAGAAAAUUAAGGUUUUAGGGGCAUAAUUGCAGUUAGAAUUAUAUGAAGGGUGCUUUUUGCAAUUACUUCAUACACUCAACAUCAAAGUGAGUGUUUAGUACACAAGGCAUGUCAUUCAUUGUAUGUCCACUCCACAUAUAUAUACAAUACAUAUAUGCUCAAAGGUGUUAUUAACAAAAAUGAUAAUUUUUUGAAAAAAAUAUCUUAUAUCAAAACAACUAUGUCUUUGUCCUUACUAUCAGUUAAUUUCCAUCUAUAUCUUUAUUCUUUUACAUUUCUACAUUUUCAAUCUUUUUCAAGGGGCAAAUUGACAUUUUAUGCCUUUUUUAUAUUUAUGAUAAUUAAUUGCAACCUUAAUUUUUAUAAAUAUAUAUAACAAAACUCUAAUAUAUUUACAAUCGUGUAACAAAAUCAACAAAAUUCAUGAAGCUAAUAAAAUAUUUUCAUAAAUUCCAUAUUUGUUCCUGAUAUUGCAAAUGAUUCGUCGCUUCUCUUUCCUCUUCUUCUUUACAAUUUUUUUAUCUUCUCUUCCAGAUUUCUUCAACUCCUUUGAUGUUCUUUCUUCUAUUUUUAUUCAUCUUCUUUUUCUUUCUUUCCUUCGACUCCUCUUCUAAAUAUUAAUUUGAUAUGAUCUAAACAAUCGCUUACCUCAACAUGAUCAAAUAGCAUGGUCAACACGAUUGUUUAGAUUUAAAGUCAUUUUCCAUCGAUUAAAAAGAACUACACGAUCGUGUGGAAACGAUUUAAGUGAUCACUUACCUAGUCAACAUGAUAUAUAUAUAUCAUUUAGCAUGGUUAACACGAUCAUUUAGAUUUGAAGCCAUUUUUUCUAUCGUUUCAAAAGAACUACACGAUCGUGCAGAUAUGAUCUAAACGAUCGCGUACCAUAGUCAGCUCGAUCGUUUAGUGUGGUUAACACGAUCUUUUAUAUUUAAAACAUUUUAUUUCAUCGUUAAAAAGAACUACACAAUCGUGUGGAUACUACCUACACGAUCAUGUAUCAUGUUCUAUGUCGAAGUGUCUCAUGAUCGUUAAUUUAGAAAAAGAAUUAUACAUGUCCAUGCGGCCGAUUAAUCGUGUGUUGACUAAGAUAUUUUUUAUAUAUUUUUUUCAUCAUUGGCCCGUAACUUCUUCCAUUUUCAAAAUUGUUCUAUACAACGUAAAUAUUAUGUUAAUUUAUUAUAUUUUUUAAAAACACUAAACAAAACAAUAAUUUGGGUGUGAACUAAUAAUGUUUCAAUAAAAGAAUAUAUACAUUUUUUAAAUUUUAAAAAGGGAAUGAUUAAAGCUCAUAUUUUGUUUUCGUAUAAUUUUUCGAUAAAACUCAUAAUUUAAGGGAAGGGAAGGGAAUGACUAUAAAAACUCAUAUUUUGUUUAUAUUUAUAUAUUUGGUUAAAUUACAUUUUUACCCUUGAAGUUUAAAAUUUGUACGAUUAGUUCUAAUGUUUCAAAUUUGCAACAAAAAAAAAAGUACUCAAAUUUUAGAAAAUGCUCGAUUACGAUCCAAUUGGGAUCGGUUAAAUAGACAACAAAGAUGAGACAAAUUUACAAACUUUAGUAUGAUGUGUGACGAAAAACGAUUCCAUGAAGAUGUGGCUACAUUCAAAUAGUACCAUUAUUUGUAAGGUGAAGUUUUUUUCGUCAAUCUCUUCCCUCUUCUUACAAAAUUUGUUGUUACCAAUUCUUCCCAUCACUUGUCUACUUUUCUUGAUUUUGACAAGAGAGAAAAAAAGUUGGUUGACAACAUCCUCGAGAGGGAAGGGUGGGAAGAGAAAACAUUUUUUAAAAUUUUUAUUUUCUGAAUAAUAGAUUAAAGUUAACAAUAAUAGUUAAUUUAAUGUCUAAAUUGUGAGGAAGUUGAUUGUUUAAUUUUAAAAUGUGGAGACAUACUUUAGGAUCAAAGGUAUAAUUUCUUUAUAUUUUGAAAGCUACCAAAUUUAGUUCACUACCUCUAUUUUAUUUUUUUUCAUUUGUUUUUCACGUGGGAACAAUGAAAAUAUGUAGUUUCCUUUCAAAUUGGAAAGCAAUUCUGUCUGUUGGCUACAAAGACAAAAUACUAUUUGUUUUUCUUUUUAUUGUCUAAAUAAUAAUAAUACACGUUAUUGCUAUGUAGCUUUUAAUGAAGUAUGUUAGAAGUGUUAGGUGUGUCGGAGGAUAGAGGUAAAUUUAAACUUAACUUUUGUGAAAGUUGGGAGGUUGGACAUAGCGUAUUCAUGAAUUAAGCUCGAGUAAGUUGGAGCAUUUGAGAUUAGAAAUAUAAGACUAAUCAAUCUUAUUUAUGUUUUAAGACUUUUAACGAGAUUGACAAGAGUUGGAUGAAAAUUAGGAAUAGGUUUUAAUCGAUUAAGCACAGAGAAGAAAAUUUUCAAUUUUUAGAGGUUGCAAAAUAUCACGACAAUAAUUAUGGACGACUAAGGUGUCCAAGCAAGAGAUGUAUGAAUUCAAAUUGAGACUCAUUAGAGGGUGUGGAGCGACAUCUAUUAACAACUGGAAUAUCCCCCAACUAUACAGACUAGGUAUAUCAUGGAGAGCCUGUGAACUUACACAGAGGUAUGCAAAGAUUUGAUGAAGGAACUAGCAUUAGUAACCCCUUUUGAAAUGUUGGAUAUGAUUCAUGAUUUACAAACUCCAAACGAAUGCGAAGAAGAGACGGAGGAAGAUUUGGAGAAUGAAAUGUCGUGUAACAGUGGGGUAGAUAUAGAAGAAGAGACAACAAACGUCGUAUUUCAUGAGUUAUUAAACCAAGCAAGUUGUGAACUAUACCUCGACUGUUCAGAAUUUUCGUCCUUGAACUUUUUUGUUAUGGUAAUGCAUUUAAAGGUUCUUAAUAGUUGGAGCAACAAGUCGUUCGAUAUGAUGUUAGAGAUAAUAAAAUGUGUGUUUCCAAUGUGUGGCACCAAUAUCUCUAGUUCAUUUUACGAAGCCAAACGAAAAUUGCGUGAGUUGGACUUGGGAUACGAGAAUAUUCAUGAUUGCAAGUACGACUGUGUAUUGCUCUAGAAGUGUUUGGGGAUUUGCAACAGUGUCCAACUUGUGGUGAGUUUCGAUACAUGGUUAGUUCUAAUAGAUCAAGAAAAAAUUCUGCAUAAAGUAAUCCUACUACUUUCUGUUGGUGCCGAGAUUUCAACGCUUGUUUGUAUUGCAAGAAAGCUCGACAGACAUGAGAUGACAUAAGGAUAAAUGAGUGAGAACAAAGGAUUUGUUGAGACGUCCAACUGAUGUAGAGGGAUGGAAGCACUUUAACUCUGAAUUUCCUGAUUUUGCUCUAGAUUUACAGAACGUCUGUUUGGAAUUAGAUGCAAAUGGGUUUAAUCCAUUCGGUUAUAUGAGUGUCUCGUACAAUAUGUGGCAUGUGGUGUUAAUUCCUUACAAUUUGCCACCAUAGAAAUGCAUAAAAGAGUCAAACUUUUUCAUGCCAUUGUUCAUUUUUUGUCCAAGAUCUCCUGGUAGGGAAACGGAUGUGUACCAACAAACCAUUGAUUGAGAAACAGAAAGAGUUGUGGACUUUUGAUGUGCGUACGUAUGACUGUAUUACAUAUCAAUUUUUUCAAUUGCACGCAACCUUGUUGUGGACAAUUCAUGACUUCUCGACAUAUGGUGACCUAUCUAGGUGGAGUAUGAAGGGGUAUCAGACAUGUCUCAUUUCAUGGAAAAUAAAUCGUCGUUGGAUAAGAGAAAAAUAGCUUUCAUGUGGGACAUCGACGCUAUCUUUCAGAUAACUACAUGUUUGCCGUCGAAGUAGGCUACAUGAUGGAAAAGUCUAGCGUAAGCUAAGACUCCUCCAAUAGUAAUAAAUGAGCAUGAAAUCUUCAAACAACUAGAUUCGUUAGAAUUUCCACUUAUGACUAAGUAUCAUUCGUUAAAAGAUAAGAAAAGAAAUAAAGCUUUUGAUUGGUACAAGAAAAGUAUUUUCUUUGAUUUUCUUUACUGGUCGAGACUACUAAUUCGUCAUAAACCUGAACAACUUAAUUAUAUUUUUUUUGUUAAUUAUAUCGAUUUCAUAUUUUGUUUUAUAAUUUGUAAUUUUUUUAAUUUUAAUAAUAUGUUACAAAUUUUGUUUCUUUCAAUUUGAAGCGGAACUGAAAAUAAUAUACCUUACAAUAAAAAAUAAAAUAAAGAAAACAAUAAAAUGAUAAAAUAAUAAAAUAAUAAAAAAGAAAUUUAUCCCAACCUAGAAAACAGGUCGGGAUCCUGUGUUCACCCUGACUUACCCAUACGACAUCGGGGAAACUUUUCUCGAUGCAUGUCGAGAGUACCCUUUUCUUGACGCACAUAGACAACAUCAAGCGUAUUCCACUACCGACGUCUUGCCUGUGUCGGCAUGGACAGUGUUGGGAAUAACCCUAUGUUGACGUCUUCACUUUGAUGCGUCGUAGAAAGCUGCCCCGGCGUUGAAAUCCUGACGUUCUAGUUGACGGAGAAUUAUGCGUCGAUAAUACUUUGACUGACACCUUUACUAUUUUUGCCGACGAUUUGUGGUGUUAGAAGUCCUCCGCUUUCUUGUAGUAGGAGUUGCUCACAAGUCCUGACGUGUUAUGAAGUGCGAUGAGAGAGACUGCACCAAACGCGUAUAUGAAUCGACAUUAGGAGCUUGUCCUUACUUUCGACGUCAAAAUGAAGCGCGUUGGGAAAAGGAAACUCCUGACACCGAUUCAUAUACGUGCUAGGAAAUCGUCUCCCAAUGCAUUAUUUCUUUCAACUCGUCUCCUGACGGUCCUGUAUGCGUCGGGAUCCUUUCUAGACGCAUUUGGAUAUAUAUGUCAAUGCUUUUAUGUGUCGAAAGAGCCACUAUUUCUUGUAAUGAUAUUUGAUUCUUUGGUUCUUUCUCUUGAAAAAAUAAAUUUAACUAUUAAAUUUUCUGAUAUUCUUGGAUAAUCAAAUUUAGGCUUGAUGAACUUCUUCAAUGAUUGACCUUUAUUGGGUUUGUUGAUCUUUUAGAGAAUCGACCUUCGAACUUAUUGGUCUUUUCUUAAAUGAUCGGUAUUUAGGUUAGAUGAUUAAUUUGGAUUGAUCAUUGGUUUGGUGAUAUGCUUAGAUUUGCCUUACAAUUUUAAGAGAGUUAUAUUUUUUUGAUCUUAAGAGUUUUGAUCAUAUAAAUUUUAGAUUUUAAGAUCUUUAAAGCCUCCAUCUCCAAAAUUUGAGAACUUCAAAGUUUCAAUUUUUAGAGAAAUCUGUGUGCUUUAAUUUAGUCUUUUAGAAUAAUUUAAGAACGUCGAAAUCUUCCCAGCUUUCAAUUUUUCAGAAGGUGAUUAGUCUCAAGAUUGAUAAGAACUUUAAUGUCUUGAGAGCUUCAAAUCUUCAGAGCUUCGACUUUUCAUCGUCAAUUCUAUGGCCCAAAUUUUCAUGGGGCUUGAAUUCGGUCAGGUUCAAGAUACUUUAAUUAGAGAUAACUGUGAAACUCGCAAAAUAUUAAAUAACAAACUGAAGAAUAGCAAAUCCCCAAAAUAUUAAGAUUUAUAGCAAAAUUGUCGAUUGCAUAAUUUUUUUGACUUUUUUUGACUUUUUGCAUAGAAUAACAUUUUGAGAAUAUGAUAUAGUAAUUAUAGCACGUUGUUUUAGAAUUUUGCAAAUAUGACAAAAACUCUCCAUCUUAAAUUUGUUAUUAUUCUUAAACUGUCAUUCAAUAACUUAUUUCUCUUUCUUUUUUUAAUGCCUUACUCAUUAUUUAUUUAUUCUCUCACUUUUUCAAGUCCUAAUUAUUUGUUUAUUCUUAUACUAUAAAAAUUAUUUAUUAUUUAUGUCUUAAUCUUAAUUUUAAAAUUAUAGUACAAUAAUUGCAAUAUGAAAGAUAAUAUAAUGAUUGUUGAUCGAAGUAAUUUAACUUCAUUUGUGGUUCUUUUUUUUUUUUUUACUUUCUUCGAUGUGUAUUUUAAGUUGAAUAUGAUUCCAAAUGAUUUUAUUUUAUUUUUUUACAUCAAUUUUUUUAUUUUUCUUUGUCUCAGUUUUGUAUAUCAAUAUUGUGAUAUACUUGUAUUAUAUGUAGUAGUCAGUUAAUAUACUUAUUACGUGAUUUUCGAUUUUUUAAAUUUUAUGCAGUUUAUUAGAGUAUUAUUAAGUAUAUGAAUGAUGUAACUCGGUGUAUCAUUAUCAAGAAUAUCAAUAAUAUAUUGUUAAAGCAUAUCAGUAAAGUGAAUCAUUAUCGAGUAUAUUAAUCAAGUUUACAAGUGUAUAUCAAAUCUAUAAGUAGGACUUCAAGAAUAUCAAGUGCAUUUAAUCAAUCAAUUGUAUAAGUGAAGAAUACUAAAUGUAUCUGCAGUGUAACAAGUGUAUCAAACAUAUAUUAGUAAUGUUUUAGGUGUGUAUCAAAAGAUAUCGAGUGUAUCAAAGUGAGUAUCAGGUAGAUCAAGUGUAUCAAUCAAAUGUAUCGAGUGUAUCAAGAAGUAUCAAGUGUAUUAAGGGGUGUAUUAGGUGUAUCAAACGUAUAAUAGUAACGAGGGUAUUUAUGACAUUUUACCUCUUGAUAUGUGGGUCGGGCUUCAAUUUUGCCAUUUUCGCAAAUAAUAAAUUGUGUGUCCUAUAGACUUAAUUAUUAUAAUUUAUUUUGUCAUUUUUUUCAAGUACCCCUUAUAUAAAACAAUUCAUUUCUUACACAUACAGUGAAUGAGGCAGAAUAUCACAAGUUCAUGAAUAUAGUGUAUUUGCAAACAACAUUAAAUUUUGGAAAAUCUUAACUAAAUAUGAUAUUUUCGAGUUUGAUAAGAUUACACCAACAUCCCUAAAUAUAUGACGGUAAUUUAUAUCAUAUUUUUGGAUUCUUAAAAUUUAAAUCAAUUAAUUAACAAUUUAUUGAUAUAAUUCAUAAUAGAUAUGUUUAACAAUAAUGUGAAUUCAAAUUUUAGAUAAUGUCACUAAAAUAAUAGCAAAGAUCAAUUCAAUAGUUUUUGAUUCUUUAUAUUUCAUACUAUUUAUCAAAUCUUUAUUAAAUAAUACAUAAUACAUAUUUUUAAGGUGAUUUUUAAAAAUAAAAUAAUGGACAAACUAUUUCAUGCCCAUAGCAAAAUUUUAAUCCAAGACCAAAAUGGAUAACUAAAAUUUUAACCGAAGCCAAAGUAUUAAUGUUUUUUUUUGCUAUAGGAUGUAAAUACUUUCCAUUUUCUUCUAUUUAUGUAAAUUUAUUACAUGAACACAUCUUCAUUUUUGUCGACGAAAAUAUAUAUGUGGCCAAAAAAGUUGUGUAUUGCGUGGGCACAUCAUCGUCUUUGCCAACAAAAAUAUACAAAAAUAUAUAAGUGGACAAAAAUGUGUGUGGUGAAAAGGAAAAUUUUUAAGUUGGCUUUCUGCCGACAUUUACUUUUGUUUAUCACCACGUAUCGUGUGUUGGUAGAUAUUUUAAAUAUGUGCCCUCAUAAUUUAUGUGGCGAAAAAUCCUACAUUUUUAUACAUAUUUAUGGCGACGCUAGACCUAUACAUACGACGACGCAAGACUUAUAACGUAGGCAUAAGUGUUUUUUUUUAAAAAAAAAAAACCUAAUUUUUCCAAAUAUUUUCCUCCUUUUCUUUUCUCUCACGCAGUUCCUCCUUUACGUGAAUGGCUUGCUGCACCCCAAACACCAAGAUUUUCUUUGCUCACGUUGAUUGCCCAUCUUCGAUUUCACUCCUUGUCGUCACUGCUCUUCGCUCAACGGCUCGCUGCACCCCUUGCUUAUCGAUUUGUAUUAACUCAAAUAAGGUCUGAAUUGUAUUAUUGCAUUAAAAUUUCAGUACCUCAUCUGAUACACAAAAGCAAUAAUUCUCCACUGAAUUCUUAUGAAUUCUUAGUAAUUCUUUGGAUGUAUCUUCUUUUUCAUUUUCCUUACUGUAUUCUCUAAAUAAGAAAUUUUAACAUCCUCCCGAAGUUGAUCAAGGCUAAAAGGCUAGAUGCACAAUUGAGGUAUGUGAGGUGCUUAAAGUACUUGAACUAAUCUCGAGGUUUAGAAAAAACUUUUGCAUUAAACUGUAUGUUAGGAUGAUCGUAGCUUACUGUUCAUCAUUCUUUUACUUUAAGACUCUAGGAUGUGCAAAUAAGUGGCUCAAUCUUUGCAACCAUCCACCAAAUUUAGUUGAAUGUUCCAAGGCAUGGUGGUUAUUGUGUCAACCUUCUCCAAAUCAUAGCAAACUCAACUACCUAUCAAUGGAACAAAAAACAUCUAUAAGAAACAAAUAAAUUGUAAAACUUUUAUUUUGAAUGAGAAAAAAAAUAUCUAUUGAAUAUGACAUUUUUAAAUAUAUUAGUAAUUUAGAAACGUCACGUUGAUAACUCUAUUGAACAAAACAUUAAUUAAAUAGUGACUUUUUAACUAGAAUAAGAAACUUUUUUGAUAGACAUUAAUAUUACGCAUGAAUAUCCUUCAACUAUGAUAGCAAAUCAUGCAUAUAUUUCAUAUUUAUUGUAUGCUUGAAUUAUAAUAUGUUGUGGCUAUCAUAUCGCUACAGUAGCCAAUCAUGUAUAUAUUUUACACUUAAUAUAUGUUUGAGUUAAACUGCUACUUUGGACACGUUUUUCGAUAUUUUGUGUUUGAUUAUGAGUUUAGAAGGCACAUUUGAGCAUUUUGAAAGGAUUUUUUUGGACUUAAAAGGUGAUUUUUAGUUUGAUAUUUAAGACAGUUAGUAGGUGAGUUUUUGUUGGAUUUUAAUUUGAAAGUUACAAUUGGGUUUUUGGUUGUUUUGACAUAUAAAAGGCUACACAAACCCAUUUUUGAGUUAAAGUACCACUUAAACAUUUUGGAGGUGUUUUGGGGGUAGGGAAAGGAAAUGAUUAGUCAUUUCUAUGUAUGGGGGGCAAGAAUUAAGGUGGGAAAGGAAUAAAUUAAUUUCCCACUUAAUCCUUCUCUUUCUUCCAUAAAUACAAUCACAUCAAACUUUUCUCUUUUUUCAAAAUAUAGAUAUGUUUUUCUUAAUAAUUAUAUUUUAACAACUAUAAGUAUCUUUUCACUUUUCCAUAACAAUUUUAUAUAUAUAUCCACAAAUACACAUAAUUAUGAAAUUUCUAUUAAAUAAACACUCCAAGAUAUUUAAUUAAAUUUAAAUUCAACAAUACUAAAAAUCUAAAUCCAAUGGUUAAUUAAAUAUUCAACCCUCGAGUAUUUAAUUAUGUUCAUCCUCAUUUGUUUAAAUCGAAUAUUAAUGAUAUGCAAUAUCUUAACAUUGCACUUACAAUAUCAAAUUUAAAAAAUGGAUAUAAUUUAUUUCGCACGUAACGCAUCAAUUAAUUUAUUGGCAGGAAAACUUUCGUAUAAAACGUACACAAUUGACAUUGUAUUUACGAAAACUAAUAGAGAGCAUGUUUUCCAAUAAAAAAUCGAUAAAUUAAAAUUAUGAAUAUUUGUGUAUUGGAUUUACUAUACCAUUUUUUUUUAAAAAAAAUACAAGAGUAUGAAUUAAAAAAAUAAAUAAAUAAUAAUAAUAAUAAACUUUUUUUUUGUCAUAAUCCUUCCUCUAUAAUCCUUCUCACUUAUUUCUUCCCCGUAUCUUUGAAAAUGCAACAAAAAAAGAAAAAAAAAAGAGGAGCAUAAUUUUUAAUGUAUUGGAUUUAUAUAUCAAAUUGAAUAACACGUUAAAGACAAAUGAAAAAAAAAAUACAAUUUAUUUGUGAACUAAAUUUACAAUACAAAUUUCAAAAACAUAUUUCACACAAAGAAAUAAUAAUAAUACAAUUUGUUUUGUGUAUUGGAUUUAAUUUUUAAAAAAAUAAGAAAAAAAACUACUGUACAAAUGAAAAAAAAGAAAAAAAAAAACUUCACUUUUGAAAUUGUAAUGAGUGUACGUUAAAGUAAUAAAAUAUUUAUACAAAAUCACCAAAAAUAAAAAUAAUACAAAUUUUUGGUGUAAUUGGAUUAGGGUACAACUUAACUGAAAUAAUGAAUUUAAAUACAAUUUUUUGUUGUAAAUGUUUUAUGAUACAAACAGACAAAAGGUUAUACAAAUGCAAAAAAUAUUAGCACAUUUUCAUUUUGUAUUGGGUUCACGAAAAAAAAAACAAGAAUUUCAUACCCAUGAAAAAAAUUAGUUUUUUUCGUACAAUUUUUUUUACACAAAUGAAAAAAAAUACAAAUUUUUUUAACAUAAUCUUUAUCCAGAGAAAUAUUAUAAAUAAUCUCUCAUAAUCCUUCCAGUUAUUCCUUCUCCCCAAACAACGAUUAGAAAUAAUCAUUUUCUUUUCAUAAUUCCCCUUUCCUUAUUCAUUUCCCCUCAUUUUCCUUUCCUUCCCCCAAACACACCCAAAAAGCUAAUAUGUUAUGGUAAUUAUUGCUAUAGGGUCAACUUUUUGUUCAUACUAUUUGAAGAUGAAUAAGGAUUGGAUUAAACUAAAAAAUAGAUUUUCAAGUGAUUAUGUUGAUGGAGUUUCUUAAUUUAUGGAAGUGGCUAAGUGUCAUGUAAAUGAUGUAGGAAAAACUAGGUGCACAUGUAAGUAUUGUCAAAAUUCAAUGACACAAACAUUGGAUGGAGUAGAGCAUCAUUUAUUUGCGAAUGGAAUAUCUUCUUUAUAUGAUAAAUGUAUUUAUCAUGGAGAAGCAAUGAACUUUGCUAGAUUUGAACAGAGUACUACUUCGUUAGAAAGUGAUAGAUUAAGUAGAGAGUCUGAUGUUGGCAACAAGGACGAUGAUAUUUUAGAUCUUUUAACUGACUUGCAAGGUUCAAUGAUAGCAAGGGAAGAAAAUUUUGAUGACGGAGAUGUAAGUUUUGAUGAUGAAUUUUCAGAAGAUGUUGAUGACAUGGACACUAGUAACAUUUUUAGGAGUUGAUGAAUGAAACACGUAAACCGUUGUAUCCUGGAUGUACCAACUUUUUCUCAUUAAAUUUUUUGGUGAAGUUAAUGCAAAUCAAGAUUCUGAAUAAUUGGAGCAACAAAUCGUUUGAUAUGCUAUUAGAAUUGUUGAAAGAUGCAUUUUCAAUCGGUACAUUUAUAACUAAAUCAUUUUACGAAGCUAAGAGAAAAUUAUGUGACUUAGGGUUAGGAUAUGAUUUCAUCCAUGCUUGCAAAAUAUGACGGUAUAUUAUUUCGAAAAGAAUUUGCUAAUUGUCAAAGUUGUCCACUAUGCAGUAAAUCUCGAUAUAAACAGAGAGUGAAAAAGGAAAGAAGAUUCCAAAUAAGGUUUUGCGUCACUUUCCACUAAUUCCAAGGAUGAAACUAUUGUUUUUUAAUCAAAAUAUAUCGCUUCUAAGAUGAGAUGGCAUAACGAUAAACAGAGGAUGUUUUACGACGAUAUCUAGCUGAUGAUGUAGAAUGGAAGCACUUCGAUAGAGAAUUUUCUCAAUUUUCCUCAAAGCCAAGAAAUGUUCGUUUAGGCUUAGCUUCACACGAUUUUAAUCCAUUUGGGAAUAUAAGUACUGCAUAUAGUAUGUGGCUAGUGGUGCUUAUACCAUACAAUUGUGGCUAGUGGUGCUUAUACCAUACAAUUUGUCCCUUGGAAGUACAUGAAGGAGUCCAAUUUUUUCAUGUCUUUGUUUGUACCUGGACCCAAAUCUCAUGGGAAAGAGAUUGAUGUAUAUUUGCAGCCCAUAAUUGAUGAGUUGAAAGAGUGGUGGAAUAAUGGUGUGCGAGCGUUUGACUGUACAUAUGAAGAGUAUUUUCCAUUAUAUGCAUGUUUGUUGUAGACCAUCAAUGAUUUUCCUGUAUAUGGUGACUUGUCGGGAUGGAGUACGAAAGAAUAUCAAGCAUUUCCUACUUGUAAAUAAGAUACGUCAUCGUUUGGGAUAAAAGGAAAAAUAUCUUUUAUGGGACACCAACGUUAUCUUUCUUCUAAUAAUAGUUGACGUCGAAGUCGACAAUAUGACAAAAAAACCCGAACGCAGGCCUCCACCAAUUGUAAUGAGGGGAGAUGAGACCUUACAACAAAUAAACUCCAUGAAUUUUCCAGUGCUAAGUAAGCAUUCAUCCAAGAUGAAUAAGAAAUGAAAACAUACUAUUAAUUGGAAUAAGAGAAGUAUAUUCUCUACACUUCCGUAUUAGUCUAAACUUCUUUUGAGACAUAAGUUGGAUGUCAUGUAUAUUGAAAGAAAUGUUUGUGACAACUUGCUUGACACUUUAUUAAAUAUUGAUGGUAAAACAAAGGACACAAUCAAUGCUCGUUUAGAUUUAGGAGACUUGAAUAUAUAAAAAGGAAUUACAUUUGCAAAGGCAAGGAACUAAGCUGAUAAAACCACAUGCUACGUCUACAUUAACCGGCACCGAAAGAAUAGACUUUAUAAGUUCUUAAAAUCAAUUAAAUUUCCUAAUGGAUUUGUCUCAAAUAUAUCACGAUGUGUGAGUGUCAAUGAUGGAAAAUUAUAGGGACUAAAGACUCAUGACUCUCACAUUUUACUCUAAUGACUUAUUCUCAUUGUUGCACGAGCAUACUUACAUAAGGGUGUGUGUACAACUAUCGUUGAGUUAUGUAAUUUUUUUCAUGAUUUGUGUGCGAAGACAAUACAUAUCAGUGACCUGAAUCGUCUGAAAGCCAAUAUUGUGAUCAUACUCUACAAAUUUGAAAGAAUUUUUUCACCUGCGUUUUUUGACGUAAUGAUACAUCUUGCAAUUCAUUUACCGGCUAAGACAAAGAUUGUUGGUCCAAUAAUCUAUAGUUAAAUGUAUCCCAUAGAAAGAAGCUUACGAACAUUAAAACAAUAUGUACGAAACAAAGCUUGUCAUGAAGGUUCCAUAGCAGAAGCAUUUCUUAUGAAUGAAUGUUUGACCUUCUACUCGAUGUAUCUAACAGGAAUAGAGACAAGAUUCAGUAGGAAUUCACGAAAUGAUGACUCAAUGAGCAGAAAACUUGGUUGUGGGGACUUUGAUGUAUUUAAAUAAAAUAUGUGACUAAUGGAGGGGUCAAUUGUGAGGACGCUAUCUGAAGAAGAGAGACGAAUGUGUCAUUGGUAUGUUCUGAACAACUGUUCUCAAAUAGAAUCGUAUCUCAGGUACAUUUUAUACAUUCAUUUACUUGUCAGUUCAUAGUGUAUAUAAGUAAGUCGAAAUUCUUUUUAAUAUUUAAUAUGAUUGAUAAGCAGAGAAAAUUUGAGUUUGAUAAAUACCAAAUGAGAGGAUGGACUAGAUUUAUUUAGAAGGCACCAAUUAAAAUUUCCUAAUUGGUUUAAUGUACAUGUAAGUGUUGUUUUUAGCUUCAAAGUAUGAUGUUUUACUAUUGAGGUAUUAGUAGUUAUUCUAACCCACAUAAUAUUAUGUAGAUGUAUUCAUUACGUGAAAAAGGUGAAGCAUCUGAUGAUCUUUACUCCAUAGUGUUGGGCCUAUUAAUCAAGUUCGCACUUACAGUGGUUGCUUUGUAAAUGGAUUACAUUUUGAUUCAAUAAAGCGUGACAAUCGCCAGACUACUCAGAAUAGUGGAAUCAUGGCAUAUGGAGAAACCAAAGCCGACAAAACGGAUUACUAUGGUCUAUUGCAAGAGGUCUUGGACUUAGAAUACCCUAAGUGUAGACGUGUAUGUCUUUUCAAAUGUAAUUGGUUUGGAACCGAUGUUAAGAAGAACAAAUUUUGUUCUAAUUUAGGCUUUAAAAUAAUUAAUACUUCUCGUUUGGGUACACUGAUGACCCAGACAUAUUAGUUACACAAGUCGUGUAGGUUUUCUACACUGACGACCCAAAACUCCGCAAUAAUUGAAAAUUUGUGCAAAAUGUCCAAAAUAAACAAGUAUGGGAUGUCCCAUAAGUUGAAAAAUUAGAAAAAGAGUUGUUAGAAGCAUCUAGUUCAAUUGGGUUUGAUAAAUCCAUACAUGAUAUCCCAUUUUGUAGAGGCGAUGUUAAACCUACUGUUUUUUAUAAUCAAGAGAUAGAUAAUCAAGAUCAAUCCCCAAUCGAUGACGACUUUAUAAAUGACGAACCUGAACAACUAGAAUCUUUGGAUUCAUAUGGUAAUGAAUAAAGGGUAUAUAUUAUAUGUUUAUCAAAUUUAUUUACGACAUGUUAUUUUAAAGUCUAACCACUAAUAAUUAUUUUUGCAGCAUAAUGGUACAUACAGAUCAAGCACAAUUGGCAUUGACUGAAGUUGAACAAACAAACACUACACCAGUUGAUCCUUCCACUCAUCAAGACGGUAUUAAUAUGAUAUGUAAGUUUAUUUCUUAUACAUUACUGAAAUGAUCUAAAAAUAGUUUUACUUUUAGGAUAUCAAUCACAAACUAAAAAGUGAGGAAAUGAUGUGAGAGGAUACGGUCCAAACAUAGAAUUGGACAAAUUUGUAGAAAAACGUGGAAAGAUCAAGAUAGAGAUUAACAAAGAGGAAGAAAAACCAAUGACGGCAUUUGCCCCUAAAAUUGGGUUAGGCAUUGGUACUGUCGUUCGAAACACUAUUCCAUUGAGUUGAGGGAAUUGGGAGGCGGUACCUAUAGGCGUAAGGAAGCUCGUGAUUGAUCGGUUGGAGGUAUGUUUAUGUUUAAUUUAUGCCUUCUUAUAUUGUUUAAAUGUAAAAGUUGUCCAUUUAUACAUAUAUUAUUAAAUAUGUAGACAAAUUUUGAAUUUGACCCAACUGACAUAAUUGUGAGAAAAUACUUAGAAAAAAAGAUGCAUAAUACUUUUAGAGAUCAAUUUAGAGCAGGUUUGAAUUGUAUGUACUUGAGUUGAAAUAUUUUGUGGCUAUCCUGCGGUGGCAACCAAUCAUACAUACAUGACAUUUUCAUAAGAACUGUCCACGUUUCUCUGUAUCGGUAAAGACGAAUAUUCUUGUAGUGUUUGUUGUUGGACAAGAUUGCAACAACCUCCUAUAUGAUAAUGGUAAAUAUAUAUACAAGAUUUUCAGGUUUGUUAUAUUUUAAAAAAUUUAUUAAAUACUACAUAAUAUAUAUUUGAAUAACAAUUUGAAAUUAAAUUUUAGAUACUCCUCAUAGAAUAAUGCCAAAUAAAAAUACAAGAUUUUCAGCUAUUUUAUAUUUUUAAACAAUUUACUAAAUAAUAUAUAAUAUAUUUUUAAUAACAAUUUGAAUUUGAAUUUUAGAAUUGUAAUUAUGUCUCAAUGGGACUUUUGCAAUUAUUUGAAUCUUCUUCUUUUAUGUUUUAUUUGAGAAAAAAAAAAAAAAAAAAAGAAGAUUGAGAGGGGGGCAACCGAUGCAAGAGACAAACACUGUGUGAGAGAGAAAUUUUUUCUUUUAAACAAGAGAGAAGAAAAGUGCGAUCGACAGAGAGAAAGACGUCGGAGUUUCGACGUUAGUGGCUAUGGGCAUCUGACGGCAUCUGACGUUGGUCAUGAGUUUGCGGCAAGUUCUGACGUUCUGGCGUUUGUUGGAGUCAGAUUUAGCCAACUUUCAUGGAUUUAGCUGCAAGCAGGAUGAUAGAAGGCUCGAGCAGUGUUUAUGGUGAGUUUCAUCGUUCAUGUUUUGUUUUUCAGCCUUGGUUCUUCUUAGGGUUUUCAGUAGGUUAUUCGACAUGUGAGUCUCCGGUCGGAGGAGCCGGCAAGAUGAAAAUUUCACAAUCUUACGUCAGAGGAGCCAACAAGAAGAAAAUCCAAGUAUGAAGAGUUUGAAGAGUUUGAAGGGGACGAGCUGGAAACUCCAAUAGUUUCUGCAACUAUGGAAGUUUGAUGUUGAUAUGUGUUAAUUGUGUGUUGGGAGUAAGAUUUUAAUUAUAGGGUAUUUGUGGUUUGUUUAAUAAUUAUAUUUAGGAUUCAAUUUUUUUUAUUUAGGUAUGGGCAUUUAAGACAUUUGUUCGUGCAAUUAUUUUCUUAUACUUUUUUAUUUUUCUAUUUUAUCAAUUUAAAUAAAGAUUUGUUGUUAGAGAAAUGUGUGAGAAUGGCAAAAUAACAUUGUGGUGUUUGGAAAAUAGCAAACAUAAAAAGUAAUUUGAUUUUUAGCAAAAUUGCAAAAGAUAUAAUUUUUUUUUGAGAAUUUUUCAACCGAUUUUAUCUCUUGAUAGGAUGACUAUCAUUUUGUUAAUUACAAUGUAUUUGUGAACCGUAAAAUAAUAAAACAUAACACAUAAUUACGAUUACGAUGCAUUUGGAUAUCAUUCAAUUUUGUAAUAAUAUUAAAUAAAUAUUUAUUUUAUCUAUUAAUCUCAUUUAACUAAAUUAUAGAUUCAUGUCUUAAAUUUAUAACAGAUUAUCCUAUUACUUAAUUGUAGGUUUUGUUGGAAGAUUAAAAUUUUAAAAUUUAAAAUAAUAUCUUUGGUUUAAAAUUAUGCAUUUUAUAUAAUAACAACUUCAUAUAAAUGGUGUAUUUUUCCUAUAAUUAUGCAUAUAGCAAUUAUACCAUAUUCGACCAUAUUAAUAAUAAUAAAUUGUUAAGCAUUAUUUUAGAGAAUAAAUGGUAACAUAACGAUAAUGCAAUCUUAUUAUAUAAUUAUCAUUAAAUUAGGAACAUUUUCUAUAGAUAUUAUUUACUACCAUUUAAAAAUUGAGUUUAAAUUCUUGCAAAUUCUCCUAAAAUCGUAUUAUUACAUUGAUCUCCCUAAAAUAAUGACAAACAUAGAUUUAACAUUUUUGGAUUAUUUAUAUUCCAAAAUAUUUAUAAAAUUACCCUAUUUAAAUUUUGUAUUUAAAUACCUCCAAAAUACAUAUUGCUCGUAACAAAUUGAAUUUAAAAUUUUAUCUUCCUCAAAAAUUGUGCUAAUUGGUUGAUUUUUAUUUUUAAAAAAUUGUUUUAUUGUGCCAAUGGUAGAAAUAAUUAUUUUCAGACGUGUUUUUAAAUUACGUUAAUAUCUAUGUUUAUUUUCAUCUAGUAAGAGUCUCAAACACACCAUAAUUGUGAUUCACAAUCUUAUAAUUUUAUAGUCAUCUAUUAUACAAACAUAUUUCAAUCAGCAGAUUUGGAAUACACAAAAAAAGAUAAAAAAAUUUGGUCAUCAAGAUGUAGUAUCAUUACCUAUACAAUUUAUUUCAAUAGGUCAAAAAAACGAGAUAUGAUAUUGAAAAUAACAUAAAUUUACUUUAUUUUGUAAAUAACAUUCAAAUUUGAUAAAUCUUAAUUAAACAUGUUAUUUUGUACAAUUUAUUAAAUAAUACAUGAUAUAGUUUUAAUAACAAUUUGAAUUUAAAUUUUAGAUCAUUCCCUAAAAUUAUAUAUAAAUCCAAUAAUUUCACUUUUUUAUAUUUUUAGCCAAUUUUACUUGUAUAGAGGAAAAUUCUUAUCUUAUUGGUAUAGUGUACUUGUGUAGGUUAAAAUGAUGAAAUAUAACUCAGAAUCACGAAUAUAUUGUAUUUGCAAAUCAUUAAGUUGUGUAAAAAUAUUAAAUAAAUAUUUAUUUUCGAAAUGAAUUUGAUUGAAUCAACAUCCCCUAGAUUUAAAGGCUGCAAUUUAUUCUAGAUUUUCUUGUUUGUUGGUUUCAAAUCAAGUAAUUAACAAUUUAUUUAGUUGUGGUUGUUCAAAUUAAAAUUGUAUCUUACCCCUAUAAUUAUGAUGCAUUUAAUGUAUAUAUGAUUAUUCUAAUAAAGUUUUGAUAUUCCUCUAUAAUCAUGAUACUUGAUUGAUUUCCUAAAAUGAUGUCAAACAUAAUUUCAAAAUUUUGGGAUUAUCUUGUUAAUAUUCUUUAUCUAUUCUCCAUAAUUGUUAUUUAAAAAUAGAUUUUAAAUUUUGAUUUGAAACCGUCAAAAUAUUAAAAUUGAUUUAAAAAUUUAUAAAAAUAGUUAUUGUUAACAAUAAUUUGAAUUUAAAAUUUUGUCAUCCCUAAAAUCAUGCUAAGAUAUCUUUAUAUCUCCAAAAUAAUAGCCAACAUAAAUUUAACAGUUAUUUAUAUUCUAUUAUAAAAAAUAAAUAUUUUAAUUUUGGAAGGAAUUAAUUGAGAAGAAAAGAUUUGUUUUAUUUAAAUUGUAAAAGAAAAAAAAAAGAAAGUGAAGAUAUUUAAGGGAAAAUAAUAAUAUAAUAAUAUUACUAUUACUAUUCAUCAUCUUCGUCACUCUCACCAAACCCUGACUGCCGCUGACACCUCCAUCUUCGUUCGCCAUCCCAUCCAUUCUGUUGAUCGAGAACUAAACCGCAAGGAAACAUCUCCUCUGUUGCACGCCACUAGUCGCAUGUUUACUUCAUCCGAAGUCAAGCGUCUUUGUGCCGCUUGUUCAUUCGCAUCGCGCGUCGCACGCUCAGCCGCGUCGAUCUCCUUUGUCUGCAUUCGUUCACUGGUUAUACCAAAACUUCCAGCCACAAAACUUCCAGUCACCGUCAAUCCCCGAAUUUUAGUGACUCUGUUGUUGUGGGGGUUUUGUGACAUACAAUGUAUCUUUUCUAAAAUUCAAGUUGAUAUAUUGUUGCUAUAAUUUAACAAACGAAGAAGAAAAUCCAUUGAAGAAGCUCACUUUUGCGCGAAACGAAAAAGAAUCUAUAAUCGGUUUGAUGAAGAAGAUGGUUGGCAAGAAGAAAUUUUUUUAAUUUGCAGUAAAUGUAUAAAGACUUUGAAGGUUUUGAAGAGGACGAAGCUUAAAGCUCUAAUAUUUUCUGCAAAUGAUCAAAGACUUUGAAGAUUUGGUAGAAUCUACGAAAGUAGAAGGUAAUGAAGUUGGAUUCUUUUCGGCUUUGAAUACCUAAACAUACACAAUUUCAACAAGGAUGUGUUAUUUAAUUACAAGGUAUUUAGGUUUUAGGUAAACAAUUCCACAAUGGACUUAGCGUUUUUGUGAUGUCAGGACGAAUCUUAAAUUAAUGGCCAAAAGUUCUUAUUCAAUCCGAACUACAAGCGAGUAUUAAAGAAAAGAAAUGAAAGCAAGGGCGAGAGAAGAAACGGAGGUGAUGGAGCAUAAAUUAAAACGAUUUUGGUCCAUACACUAAUCACAAAUUACAUUUUAAAUAUUUUUUGUUUUCUUGUUAGGUUUAUCUCUUGCUUUUCUUUUUCUCUUUUCCUUCCUUCAAUUCAAAGGAUUUUUUUCAAAAUAUUUAUAAAUAUAAAAAAAUAGUACUUUUAAUUAGCCAUCGAUGGUGAUAGGCUUAUCUAUGUGACGAUGGACCUAGAUUGCAGUCUAUCUUGAUUUAUUAUUAAUAUAAUUGUGAUAUUUUGAUAUAUUUAGAAAUUUUUUCAUUUAAAAUAUUUUUCUUGUUAUAUUUUGAGUGUGUAUAAAUAGAUUAAAAUUAAAGGGUAAAAAAGGGACAAAAGGACAAAAAGAAGGGUAAAAAAUAAAAAGAAACGUUAGGAAAAAGGGGAAAAGAAAACAUGACUAAAUAAUAAUGAGAAAAAAGAAUGGAAAGAAAAUAAUGCAUUAAAUUAUAAAUUUGGUCGAUGAGCUUUAACAUCCGUGUUUAUCUUGUCCUUAAACUACCAAACUUACAAACUUUAGUUCUCGAUCUUUUAAGUUUUAUCAAAAUUUUCAUAAUCUAUUAAAUAAAAUAAAUUAAGAAUUAAAGUUGGGAUGAAACACAAAAUCAAAAUUCAAAGACCAAAAAUUAAACACAAACCAGCUACGAGUUUAACAACUAGAUUUAUAGGAGAACCAAAACACAUAAAUUAAAAAAUAUGAAUAAUAGAUUCAUAAACUUUCAUCAUAUCCAAAACCCUAAACCUAAAAUGAGGGAACACAAACUAGACAUGACCAAAACUAUUUUUUCAGAAGUACCAAUAAUAGAUUUGAUCACAUGACCAAACUUAGAGCACAUGUUCUUUCUAAAAUAUAUCCAAAGGGUAGCCCUACCUGCGUGAUUUGUUGAAGUAUACUCUCUUGGGGACCUCAAAUAAUUAAAUUACUUUUUCCAUUGUUUUAUCUUUUGUGUGGAUUUUUUUCUAAAAAAAUUUCACGUGAAGAAAGAAGGCCUUAGCUAAGCUCCAAUAAUUCAACUUGACAUUGUACCCUAUGUAGUAAUCCAAGAUUUCAAAUAAAAUGGCACGUGAAAAGUUAGUUUUUUUUUCUUUCCCAACUUGUGAUUAUAUCAUUUUGGAACCUAUCGUUCUUAGCAUUUAGUGCUAGAUGAAGACUCAUUUGCCGUAUAUUUGAAAGGAGAGGUACGUUGACGCUCCUUGUUUCUCUCAUGUUACAAUCCUCUUUUGUUUGAAACCUAUUUUAAUUCAAUCCACAAACACAAUAAUAGAGGAUUGAUAUCAACCUUUCAUUAUGGAAGAUAGAAAUUUUGAAAUGAAUCUAGCAAAAAAACAUAGAAGUCAAGCACGAUGUUGUGGUAGAUAAUGAUAAGCCAAUGAGAGCAUAGAUGGAAAUACACCUAGGAUGGUAACCCAAUUAGUGAGUGUAGUCACCUAUUUCGAAGAUUAGUGUAUUAGAUAAAGAGUCGAGAGAUUAUCAUUUCAAUGGUAAACUCUCUCUUUAAAAACUAUUGUCACACACAAUAUUUUUUUGGUAGCCUUAAAUGAAAUCUCAUCAAUACAUCAACUACUCAUCUUGAGUUUUCACUUUCACCUUUAACUAAUUCGACAGUACAUGAAGCCAAGUAAUAAUACUUGGUCAGAACAAAAACUCAUAAAUUAUAGACGAAAGCAGGCAGGGAAGCAAUUCAAACUUGACUUUAAAGCACAUGUAACCUGUUAUAUGUAAAGUAGUAAUAGCGGCAAAAUUUUAGGGUUUUAGUGUUUUACACAAUAUAGGUUACUCUAAUACCAUGUCAAACAAUGUAAAUUUUCUAUCUUAUUUCACUUAGAAAGAGGGGAUUUCUUAAAUAUGUUUGGAGAAUAUAAUAAAAUAAAUACAAAAAAAUAUUAAAGAAAAAGGAAACAAUCAAUUAAUUCAUGAUUCAUGGUUGUUUCAAGCAUUACACAAUAAACACUUCAAAACACUAAAAUUAUUAGUAAAUACAAAGAGGUUUAUUCGAAACACGUUAAUUAAUUAAUUAACUUGAGAUUAAAAACUAAAUAGUCGACCCACACCUUUCAUGCAAUUGACAAAAAAGAAUAUUCAUCUAAUUUUUUAGUGUCUGAAUUGAUAACUUUUCUUAAAUUGAAGUUUCAUUAACAGAGAGUUCAUUCUUUAUAUAUAAAAACAUACUUAAAAUUGGUUAUAUAAAAUUUUUAUUCAACAUAUAAUAUGUAAGUGAGGAGAUGGAUUGUUUGAAUUCUCUUAUCUAAUUUUAUACUAUUUACUAACAACUAUUAGAAAGUAAAGGAAAUUUAUUUUCAAACCCCACCAUUACCUUUUAUUACCUUAAGAAAGGACAUAAACAUAUAACCCUCAAAAUUAAACCUUUCACAAAUCUUUUCAUCCUGCACACUUCACCAUGGCAAAAAAAAAGAGAAAGAUAUAAGGAAAAACAUAACAAUGAUAAGUUCACACUAACAAAUUAACUCUAAACAACAUUAAUUUUACUUCCCUACACCCUCAACUCUAAACCCUCCAAAACUAUAAUAUUCCCCAAAACACAAUAUGAAUAUAUACCACUUGGCCCAAAACCACCUCCUAGGGUUUUUUAGUGGCUUCUCAUUCUAUGGUGUUUUAGGGGUUACGUACCUUACCUUCCUGAAAUAUUCACGAGGGUUUUUUUUAUUAGGGGUUUCUCUUUCUAGGGUUUUUAGGGUAAUCGGGGAUAGUUCUUAACCAGCGCGGUACUGCCACAAGCCAAAGCCUUCGGCGGAAUCAUUCCCACCAUAUGAACUCCUUCGGCAAACACAACUCCCAUUCCCAUAUGCAAAUGAGGUUCAAUAUGGCAAUGGAACGCCCAAACACCUGGGUUAUCCGCCACAAAUCGAAUCGCCGUCCACCCAUAUGGGAAAAUCACCACUGUGUUCCUCAACGGUGGAUUUUUCAAAUUCAGUUUCUUCUCAUCCUCGGGGGCGUAAAAUUUCCCCUCUCCAUACCCCAAAACCCAAAAAUCAUGGCCAUGCAAAUGCCAAGGGUGAAUCUCACUCAUAUUGGGGUUUAACAUAUUAGCGUUUUGUAGAAUCACAUCUACCGUUUCCCCCAUAUUGAACUUGUAAACGCCGUUGCCCGUUGUCGUUUCAGGGUUCGGCGGUGGGUUGUUGAUGUCGUAGUUCAAUGGGAAUGUUUCUGGUGGUGGAUUUUGGUUGAAGGCAGUGUUUAGCCUCAUUUUCAUGGCGGCGAGGUACGGCGUUGGAGGGAGAGCUAAAGAGACAUUGUUGAUGGCCCAUUUCAUGAACCCGUUUAUUCGAUUUUGGGUGUUGAGGAGGAAGAGUCGGCGGUUGUAUCUCACCGGUGGCUUUGGACUGCCCAUGGCAGCGAAGAUUCUGAAUGUGAAGUUUUUGCUCCGAUCAAAAUCCUCCCAGUGGGGGGUUUCCGGAGGUGGAGAAAUGGGUAAUUUGGAGGCGGAGUUGGGGAGGUAAUUGAGGAGGGUUAGUCCUGGAGGGGUUUUGGGUAGCCGUGCGCGGACGCCGAUGGAUACCCAGUAAUUUUCCAAUGGGUUUUGGUCGGUGGUAAUGAGGACGGAGUAUGACUCGCCGGAAUAAAUGUCGAUGUCGGAAGUGACAAAUGGUUGAACGUAGUUGCCGUCGGCUUCUACCACUAACAGUUCGUGAUUCUGCAGAAGAAGAGGAGAAAAUAAUUAUUAAAAUUAGUUUUAAAUUCAUGGAUAAACAUUAAUGUUGAAAGUUGAAGAUAUUAUUUAGUGAAAAAUUAAAGUUUAAAAAUCUAAAAUUAAAUGGAAAUGAACAAUUUGAAACUUAUAAACUAAAAAGGAGAUUAGAAUUUUUUGUUCAUAAUUAUUCAAGUUUACUUUUGAUUAUUUUUAUUUUGAUUUUCAAUUACUAGUUUGAAGCAUGAAUAUGAAUUAUUAACAUUCUAACAUGCAAUUAUUCUAAAAAGGACAAAACAAAAAUGAAAUUUUGAUCCAUUUCUUUCACCACUGAAAAAGGCUAAGAUUUUGUUUUGUGUAAUUAUUAUGUGCAUAAUUAGAGAGAGAUGGACCUCAUUUUGUUAUACCUUUGACAAGGAAUUAAAUAAAUCUUCAUACUUAACAUACUAUAGAUUUCAUUUAAGUGUAGAAAGAUUUGUAUUUAGUACUCUACUUUUUUAUUAUUUUUCUCCCUUUCCUUUUUUGUUUAUUAUUAUUAUUAUUAUUACUUUCUUUAUAAUUUUCUUUUAAAAAACUAUUCUAUAUCACCCAACUUUUAUAAAUAUUUACUAAUAUAACAAAUUGAUAUCGAUCUAUCAUCUAACUUAGUCUAUCAUAGUCCAUUUUCCAUAAUAGAUAAAAUAUGAAUUUUGCUAUAUUUUGUAAAUAUUUUGAUUUAUUUUAUUAUCAUCUAAAUUGAAUUUUAAAAUAAUAUUUUAUUAUUUUUUUAAUAGUUUUUGUACCCUAAAUUUAAUAAUAUAUUAUAAAAUCUUGUUUAGAAUUUUGUUUCCUAAAGUAUAAAUGUAGAUCCCCACCACAGUACAUCUAGAUCUCAAACAUUUAUGUGGUAACCUUCAACUUUAACAAUUAUUCCAUAAAACAUCUUCCCCAUUAUUAAAAUAAAUGAUAAAAAAAAUGAGGCAAUAGUUUAGAUAUAAAAUCAAAAGAUGGGAUAAGAUCACAUAUUAUUUUAAUCAAAUUAUACAAAUUUAAUCAUAGUAGUUGGGAUAAUUUUAGGAGUUAGUUCCAUAGUUUAUAAAUUACAUAUAUUAUUCACAACUAUUAGCAUUUAUUUCAUCUAGAAAGAAGCAUUAAAACUAUUUAUAAUGUAAAAUCACCUUGGUACCUCAAGGGUCACAUCAAUAAAUAAGAAUAAGAUAUAGUAAAUAAUAUCACUUAUGCUUUACAAUUUCUUACAUAUUUGUUACUUCUCAAGUGGGUUUAUAUAUGUGUGUGUAUAUAUAUAUAUAACUAAAUAAAAGUAUGAUUAAAAUUCUAUAUUAAUAAAAGUACAUAUAUAGAUAUUUUAAGUUUAAGAGUAACAAUCAACUCUCAAGUAAUAUUUUUAAAACAAAGUGAAGCAUUUAAGUGUUAUAUAUAUAAUUGGAUUAGAAAAAGAAAAGAUAAAAAGUAAUAUGAAUAGGACAAGAAAGAUGGGAGCAAAACAUGUGGGAUACCUAAGAGAAGAGUUGGUCAAUGGGAAUCACAUCAUAUUAUCAAUACCAAUAUGUCCAAAAUGUCAGAAAUGUUAGAUUAGGUUAUCUAUUGUUUGUACUCUCCCAAACACUGCUACAUGUGUUUAAAAGUAAAUUUAAAUAUUAUCUCUUAAAUUGCUAUUUUUAAAUACAAUGAAAUAUUAUUAUAUUAUAAAAUUUUGUUAUAUUUAUAAAUAUUUAUGUAAAAAUUUAUAUAUUAAAGGUGGACGUGGAUUAAAAUAGAAGAGAUUUAAUGUAAAGUUUAAAUAUCAAAACGAAUAUUUUAAAGUAUAAUGUGAUAUAUUAUACUCCAGAAUUCAAACCCUAAUAUUCUUAUAGUCAAUUUUGAAAGGAGGGUAAAGUUGAUAAAAUGGCUUUUGAUUGUUUGGUAGCUAUUAUUCUCACUAGUGAAAGAGAAGUUUGUGUGUUUUGGUUAGUUUCCUCUCUCUCUCACACACACACAUAUAAUAUAUAUUUGCUUUCACUAACUACUCCCACUUUUAGGACUUUAUGAGUCAAAACCUUUGAAAUUAUUGGAAGUAAUUUUCAAACAAAAAGCAACUUUCAUACUUCUAACACCUUUUUAACAUAUGGUUUGAUAAAGCUUAAUUAUUUCUUUUGUACAAUUUGUCAUUGGAUGGAGUUACUUUAUCAUGUUUCUUUUAGAUUCAUUCGUCGUGAUUGAAAUUGAACUACUUAUUAAUUUACUCGUUGAGGCUAUUUGAGUGAUUUUUGGAUGUUUAAUUGUUUAAAUUUGAUGAUUUUCGACUGUAAUAUCGAUUUAGAAAGUUUAUUUGGUCAUUACUAAAGGUUAAAUAUCUUUGAAAACUGCUACAAUUAUUUAAAAUUGAAAGAUUAAAUCAUAGAAAAUACCUCAAAAUUGUCAUUUGUUUAAAAAAAAUUAUACCUUCAAAAGUUUAAUACAUACUAAACGUGGAUGGAAUGAAGGUGCAUCGAACUAUACACCAAAACACACAUCCAAUGCCAAAAGUGAAAAUAUUUCAAAAUUACUACGAAAUAUUUACGAAGGGUUAGAGGUAACACUUGAAGGUUUCAAUAUUACUUCUAACUUUCAUAAAUAUUUUAAAAUUUCCUUCGUGACAUGUUAAUGAUGUGACAGUGACCCGUUUUAUUACAUGAUUUCAAGUUUAAUUUUAUGUAUAAGUUAAUACAAUCACAAUAGUUUUGAAAAGACUAGAUACCUAACUUCAAUAUAAGAUAAUUUUGAGACAUUCAUGCUAACAAUUUUGUUACUAAUUUUUUAAUGUAUUUAGUCUUUAUGUUUUAAUCCUUUACCGUUCGAUAAAAAUUUCAUUAAAUAUAUUCAAUCUAAUUUAAAGAUUUUAUCGAAUCAUAAAAACUAAAUUCUACUUUUUUUACGUGAUACGACUAAAUUUGUGACUUAAACCAAAAUGAAAGAUAAAAAGAAGCAAGACUUACUCCAAUGGCAAAGUUGAGGGAAGCCAAGGCAGUGGUACUAGCAAUUCUUAUCCGAUAAGUUUUCUUGGGUUGAACAUGUAGGAUAAAUGGUGCACAUUUUUCUUUUCCACUCAACUCACAUUGCUUCAAACCUUGGUUGUAUUUGGCUGCUAUUGAACAGUCAAAUUGCCCUUUCCCAUUUAUCAAUAUGCUCUGAAAAAUAGUAAAAACACACAAAUAUACGAAGUUACAAUAUUAUUCUUGAACAAAUGUGAAGUAUAUAUAUAUAUAUGCAGAAUUUUAGAUGGAAAUUAAGACUGGAGAUGAAAUGUAUGGUGUUGGCAUGACAAAAUUUUACUUUAUCUUAUAUUCUCCCUAAAUGAAUUUUCAAAAUUUCGUAUUUUGUUUGUGUUAUAUAAAUUGAAUAUAUUUCAAACAAGGGAGGAUUGAUUUUGAAAGUGGGAGAAUAUAUAUAUUUUCUCCAAAUAUUUUUUUCUUUUGUUAGGAGCUAUGGCUUAACUUAGUACAUGUAUAUAUAUAUGUGUGUGAGAAAAGAUAUACAUGUGUUGUUUUAUCCUUGUAGUUUGAACAUGGUGUUCUUUUAAUUAGAUUAUACAUUAGAAAAUUAUUGAAAAAAUAUUACAUUAUAUUGAUAGAUGUUGAUAAAAUUCUAUCAAAUUCUAUUUGUGCAUUGAAAUUGUGAUCAAAUUUAAAAAAAUUUAUUUUUAUAAUGUAUUGGUUAAUUUUGUUUUUUAAAAAUGUUCGAUAUAUAUACUUAUCUUUUAUACCUAAACAAAGAAUAUUUUAAUUUAUUAAGCUUUCUUUUUAAACAGUGGAUUAUUAUAAGAAAAAGAAAGAAAAGAAAAGAAAUGGUCAUUGAAUUAGUUAAUAAUUUAAAUUAAGGAAAUUGAUUUAAGGGUAAGAAGGACAAAUUAUAUACCCACCAACCUCUCAAGUCUAUUCAAUCUACUAACUUUUCUUUUUCAAUUUUCAAAAUGCUUUAUUUAACAAAAAUAUAUUUUUUUUAACAAAUGAAAGCAGAUUCUUGAAAAAAAAAAUAGAAUGAAACUACUUACGAAAUAUAAAUAAUUUCGUCACCUAUUCAACGUUAUUCACAAGUUUGUAUGCAAAAAUAUAAAAUAAACAAAAUUCAGAAUAUGUACUUACUUACAAGUUUAAAUAAUCACUGACAUACAAAACCUAAAAAGUUAUGAACACUUAUUUUAUAUUUAUAACAAUUGAAGUCAAUUAUUUAUCUUGUUAUCAAACAAAUAUAAACCAAUCAUACAUUGAAAUUUUCAAGUCAAACAGUACAAGAGAUGAAGAAAAAAAUGAUCACACACACACACACUUCAAGAAGAGGAAUGGAAAAGGACAGAGGAAAAAGAAUAAUUGGUGGAAUAGUGGUUUUGGUUGUGUAAAGCAAAUUUCAGCGAUGCAUUUUUUCUCAACUUUUUCUCAUGUGUAAUAAAAUAGGAAAGAAAACAAUUAACUUUAAAAGUGGUUUGUUGAUCAUCGUCAUUUAAACAAUAAUAUCCAAAUCUCAACUUUACAUAAUGAAUAACACUUCUUGAUUUUGAAAAAAAAAAAACAAUUAAUUUUUACGCUUAAUUAUGUUAAAAACUUUGUGUUGAAAAUGUGUUUUAAAGUUAUAAAUAUGUUUAAUUAUGUGUUAAAAGUACAUCUUUAAUUUAAAGUUCUACUCGUUACAUCAAUCUCCAUCUUUUUUAAAUUAGUAAGUAGGGAUCUUUUUGAAAUACAAAAGAACAAAAAUUAAACUUUUCUAACCAGUUAGUGAAAAGAAAUUAAACUUUUCAAAAUUAGAGGCAUGUUUCAAAAGCUAAUGAGUCUUCUUUUUUUUUCCUAAUUUAACUAAAUACUAAUAAAUGAUUGUCAAUUCAUAGUUGAUAAAGUAGAGAUGGACCAAUUGACACUACUUUAUUCAUACAUAUUGUCAAAAAGAACUAAAAAAAGAAUACUUAGUUGGUAAAGCACUAAUUACCUGAGGCUCACCAAUCCAACGCAUUGGUUUGGAGCUGAGACCAACUUCUUGCUUGUGAACACUCUGAUGCCACCAAUCACUAAGCAAUAAGUUGAUCUCUUCGUCAUAAUGGAAUGGCUCAGAUCUUCCUUCUGGUGGAUCCACUAUCAAAGAUCCAUACAACCCAGCCGAUCUUUGCAUCCCUAAAUGGCCAUGAUAGAAAUAUGUCCCAGCCUACAGUAAAAUAUGAAUAAAUAUUAUAAAACAACUUGCAAUAUUUCCUAUGGACUCAAUACGUUUUAAACCCUUCUUACCUUAUCUACCACAAACCGGUAAGUGAAGGUCUCACCCGGGUUAAUGGCACACUGCGAGAUGGAAGCAGUGCCAUCAGCCCAAGGAGUACCUCGUUGUAGGAUUCCAUGCCAAUGAAUAACAACACCUUCAGUGUGGAGCUUGUUAGUUAGCUCCACAACGACGAUGUCGCCAGCGUUGGCUCUAAUCGUCGGUCCAGGGAACUCGCCGUUGAUUCCCAUAACAAUGUUUUCAACACAAUCUGGCGACCAAAACAUGUACUCAACAUCCCAUUUGUAGUGUUUUAUUUUGGGAAAACCUGCCUCAGAGAGAGUUAUUCCAAAUCCAAAAAUGAUUGACAAAACAAGGAAGGAUAGAAAAGGCUUGGGGAAGAAAGGCUUAUCUGCAACUUUUGCCAUUUCGAAGGGUUGAGGAGAUGAAAGGGAAGAAUAAUGAUGCAAUGAGGAAAAAGGAAGAAAGGAAAAAAGUGGGAAGUUUGUGUGUAAGAUGCCACUAGAGUUUGCAAUUUGCCUCCUUUUUAUAAUGAAAUUUUGAGAUAUUUUGUUUACCCACUCCCUCUCUUUCGUUAAGUCAAGUGGUUGAUUUUAAUUCUAAUUUUCAUUUUUAUUUUCAUUUGUUGUGUGUGUGUAUAAUAUAUAUAUAUAUAAAUAUAUAUAAUUAAUUUGUGUGUUUAUACUUUUUUCUUUAAAAAAUUACUACAAAAGAAAUGGAAACUGUCUCUCAAUCAAUCUCAGACCUAUAUGAAAUGAGAGACAUCUAUGGAAAGAGAUUAAAUUCAAAUGUAGGACCCUAUAAAUGUUGAUCUAUAAUAAUUAAAUUAUAUAUAUAUAUAUAUUAGGUUUGCUAUAUAUAUACACACACUAUGAAAGAUUCCAUUUAUCUUUUAGGUUGUUUGUUUUUUGGAUCUAGAUAAUAAUCAAAGAGCUAGUUGUUUCAAUGUUUGGAUGUAUUUAUUUGACUAAGUUAUAAAGUAAUGCUUGAAAAUAUCAAUAUUAUUAGUUAUGUUUGCUUUGUAAAAUUUGUGUGCAAGAAAUAUGUGUGUUGAGAAUUAUGUUAUAUACCAAGAUUGUUCAAACAAAUUUUAGGCAACUUAAAUUAACAAUAGUUCGAUACAUUGUUAUGGAUACUUUUUGGGUUAAAGUAUAAAAUCGAUAUGAUGAUAAAUAAGAGAAAGUCAUCGGGUGAUCAAGAAAGCAACAAUAAAUAGGGGCUCGCUAUCCGGCCAAGAUAAUAAAAUUGGCUUAAAGAAAAGAACUAAUUUGUCCCGAUUGGUUUGCUUCGACCAAGGCUGAACCUACACAAAACAUAUAUCGUUACAUCCCAUGCAUGAUGUGAGCUCACACACGAGCCUUAAGAAGAGGAUUGACUUGACCUAAAACCACUUCGAUCGACUCUACUUUGUCCUUUGUGAAGGCUUAACUCACUAAGUCAAACCUAUUUUAAUGUUCUAGAACAAAUUAAAAGAGAAUAUUUAGAAGCUUAGGAAAACACUCUUCCUAAUUAAGGAGAGGAGAAUCCAAUCACCCGCUUUAUAAAUAAGAUGGUAAAAAGACAUAAAAUGUUAGUCGUUCUCUCUCCAGUAACAUCAUACUAUAAUAAAAUCUUUAGAUCAUUUUCCUUGUUUUAAGUAACAAAGUGUGUGACGCCCUAUAUCAUACCAGUGUGUCGUUCUUGCUAAUUAACUCGUAGUUGAUCUUCUUCACCAAAAUAUAUAUUUAUCAUAGUUAUCGCUUUGAGGUCAGAUCAUUUUACCUGCUCAAAUUUUAGAAAAUUAUUUAAAUUCAUUUAACAUGUUUUCUUCGUGGUAAAUUUAUUUAUUCAAUAUUUUAAUAUUUUAAUUUUAUAUCAAUUAGGUAUACACUAACUUUAUUGGUUGUUAAAUUUUAUUUAUUCAACUUUACUUGAUGGUGAUGGUUUUGUAGGCCUUCGGGCAUUUUGGUUCUUUAAUCAAUGAAGUUCUUUUGAAUAUACAAUAUAUGUAUGUUGUAUAUAUAUGAUUUAUUAAAUUGUAAUCAUUUUCAAGAAAAGACAAUUAAUAUUUAAUUAUGAUAGUUUUAAUAGAUCACGUUUAUUUGAUUGCAAGAUUAUAAUUUUUUGUGUGAUUUUUUAGUACAAAACAUUGACUUACUCAAUUAUCCAUCUCUGAGUCGGUAACUAAUCUAUUUUUAUCUCAAUUGAACUAUAUUGAGUUGAAUAUAUAUAUUUAAUAAUUUAAAUUUUAAAAGUAAAAGUGGAUAAUUAUAUCAAAUAAGAAUAUGAACAGUUGGACACUUAUGAAAUCUAGUACGUUCAUGUUUACAAACUCACUUCAAUUCUUUGAAGAAAAAAAACAAAAUACAUGUUUAAUAUGUUAAGGCUAAACUAUGAGUUUUGAUCCCUAUAAUUUGAAUAAUAAGGUUAAAGUUUUAGUUCAUAAAAUCAAGAGUAAUUUAUUAUCAUCUAACAUAUUGAGGGGAUAACCACGACUACUUUACUAUGUUGAAAUUAUUAAAAUGUUCCCAAUUUCUAAAUUAUGUUAUUAAAUACACAUUGGAAACAUUUCAUUCAAAUUUUUUUAUUUAAAUUUUGUGUUUUCAAAUUUCUAUUUUCAAACUGUCUUUAACCUACAUAUUCAUUUAAUAGAUAUUUUAGAUUUUUUCCAAACAAACAACUUCUUUAUUUAUAUGCUUUGUUCUGUGUUUGUGUUUGCAAGUUAAGUUAACGAUUUGUUGUAUUUAACAACAUUCAAUGAGUCAAAAACUAUAUCUAACUUAAUUAACGAAAAGUAUAUAUCACUUCGAUAAAAAAGUGAAAUUUCAUAUCCUUUUCUUUUCAAAAAUCAAGCAGGGUAGGUCAUAUCAACACGCAUUUUUUUAAAAUAUUGUUGUUUCAAAAAGAAAAUAGUAAAAUAUGGUUGUUGGUAAGAUAUACUUUAUAAAAGGAAUAAAAUAACUGAAAUUAUGAACUAAAACAAAUGUAAGGAUUGGAGUGGGGAAAUGGUGAUGUUAUAUAAAAUAUAGACAAGUUGAGACAAAAGUAAGGAUAAGAAAAAGUGCAUCAAACUUUUUAAUUUUCAAAAAUCAUUCUAUUUUUCUUUUUAUAAUAUAUAUAUAUAUUAUAAAGUUCUAAUAUUUAAUAAGGUAAAUCCAUGUAUAUAAUCUUGCUAUUUAUUUUUAAACUCUCUAACCACCCAUUAUCGAUUGAUGGAUAUAAAAUUUUGAAUAUACAAGAAUUGAAAUAUUUAAAAUCCUAAAAAUGUUCAUUUUUGAAAAUUGGUGAAAUAUAAAAAGUAAAUGUUUGUGUUUAUUUUAUUAGUUUUUGUUUACAAUAAUUCUUCUAAAUUAAAGGUAAUUGUUUUUAUUAUAAGAUUGAUCAAAGUUAUGUUUAUAAAUAUAGGAAUAUUUUCAUUAGCUCUCUUAUCAAUAAUAAAUAUUUUAUUAUUUAGUUUAUAUUUAAUUAAUUAAUAAGGAAUAUUCUCCCUAAAAUUAGUUUACAAAUUAACUAAAAAGUAAUCAAUGAUUAACUUUCUCUCUCCUCUAUUGUUCAUUUUUCAAAGAAAAAUAGGUCUAAUCUCCAAUAAGAACAAUAAUACAAAUUAAUUCAAAGUUUAUACUCCAUUAUGAUACUUUUAUAUUUGGAUAAUAAUUAUCUAUUUAUUAAAAUAAAUAUCCACCGAACAAACGUUAGUUGAUGAGAGAAUACAUUUUCUUUUAAACAUUUUCUUGAAAAUGAGUUUAAAUUUAAACAUUUACAUGUUUGAUUAGAUUUUUUUAUGAGUGUUUAUAUAUGAAUUUUGUUUAAUUUAUCUUAAACCAAAAAUGUUUAUACUUAACUCAAAUUAUACCAUAAAUGACUACUAAACAGUAUGACCUAAUUUCAUAAAAAAUACAUAUAUUUUAAAUUUAAAAAAAUAUAUAUACUUUGAAAUUAAUGGCACAAUCUUUUGGAACUAAUUGUUUUAAAAUUUUGAAAUUAGUAAAGUUAGAACCAAAAACAUUAUUUUUUUAUUACUUUUUUUAGAUAGUUUUAUUUUAGAAGUAGAGGUAUACUGAUAUCUAAAUUCAUAAUCAAGAUAAAAAAUAAAAAUAAAUAAGAGAAAAGAAAAUUAAUAAUAACACCAGAAAUAAAGGGAGCUUGAUUUAUUAUAUUGUUUUAGUAAUUAUUCAAAAUAAAAGAAAGAAAAACGUGAGAUAAAAAUUGCCAAUUUUUCAACUUUAAUUUAUAAAAGUUUGGUUUUUAAUGAUUUCUUUAAAAUGAAUUAUUUUAUAAACGAUUUUUUUAAAAAAAUGCAUUAUUCUAAUUUUUCAUAUACGAAAUUUUUUUUUUACAAAAUUAAACACUUCAAAAUCUCAAUCAAACACAUCAUAAUUCUUAUUAAUUUUUAAUAAACUUUUUGUCGUUUGUAAUUAAGUGUGUUUAUUUAUUUUAUUAGUAGUCUUCAUCUUUUUCUAAUUAAACAAUUUUAGUUCAAUUUUAACACGAAAAUAAGUUUUAAAAUGAUAUAUUAUCAUACCAUGAUUUUGUUUGUGACUUUUUAUAAAAUUAAAUAAACCAAGUGAAGAAAUCAAUAUUAAUUUUCUAACCAUAUUUUUAAAACAAUAAAGACCCAAAAACAAGUUUAAUUACUCUUUUAUAACUAGCAAUAAACUUUUUCUUUAGUACUAAUUAGCAAUAAAUUAUUGAGUACUGUGUUUACAUUAUUCGAACUUAAAUUGUGGUAACAUUGGGUCCCAUUUCUACUUCUAGGGCUUAUUUGGGUUUUCAUUACAAAUCACAAUUUACACUUUUGUUAACCUAAUUUUUUUCUACUCUUCUUUCUUAAGGUCAAUUUUCAAUUAGAAAGUUUCAUAAUAUAUAUAUACACACACUUCGUUUUUCCAACUUUUUCACAUUUUGGUACUUUAGAAAAUAAUAAUAAAUAAUAACUAUGUAAUUUAAAAUUUUCUAUUUGUCCACCCUCGUAUUUUCGUAGUUGUCGAUCAUGACUGAGUAUUUAGCUAUAAAAAGGAUUAUCCAAUAAAUCAUCCAAAAGAGAGUGAUUUUAUUUAACAAAGUAUGGUGGCCGACUCAUCGAUUCAACAAUUAGAAUGACUAAAUAGAUAAUUAAUUUGAACUGAUUAGAAACAUAAAGGUCAACUCUGAGACAAUCAACCAUCAAAGUUAAGAAAAUCAAUUAUGUGGAUUUCAUGAAGGUCGACUCAUAGGGUUAGUUAUGGUAGACAAAUAUAAGGCCUAAGCAUGUAGAUAAACCCAUAGAAAUCAGAGUGGCUAUAUAACGUAAGAUCAAGAUCAACAUUACGAAGGCAAAGAUUAUUAUGCCUAAAUAAGUGUUUUACUUUUACAUAUGUUUGGGUCAUUAGUAAAGUAAAUCCACCACUUCAUAGCGGCUAAGUAACGAUUUGAUUAAUGAAUCAAGAAGUUAAUUAGCAAAUGGUCAUUACAAAUACGUUGUUUUUUUAUAAACAACAGGGUGCAUGAUGCUUGUUCGCUUCCUCUGAACAAGCUUUGAAAAUUCAUGGUUGGUACCGAAGUUUGGUAUUGAAAAAGUAUAAAUAAUUGUUCAUAUUACUUUUGUUCAUAUAAUGUCAUAAAAGGAAUAUUUAAAUGCGUGACAUAAAAGACAAUAACAUAUCAUCAAUUGAGGAGUCAAAUCACCCAUGGAAGAAGUAUUUAUGACAGUGGUACCACAAAUUUCAUACACCCGAUGUUAGCAAGUUCCAAGAUAUGUUAGUAACUCGUUGAAACAAGAUGCUUUUUACAAGAAGCUUUUAGUUCUAAAAUGGAAUAACAAUUUAUUAUUUAUUUGCUUUUAUUUUAAAAUGAAAGUAACAUAUCUUAUUUAGGAAAAUUAAUUUUGAUAUGAAUUUAUAAAUUUUCAAGUCAUUGAAAAAAUACUUUUUUCUAAAUUUAAUUAGGGUUUUAAUCCAAUUUAUUUUGUAUCUAGAAGUUACAAAAGGUUACAUUCUACGUUGAUGGAGUAAAAAUUUCAAAUUGGUUUGAAAAAAAUAUGGUAAGAAAACUAAUUAAUAAUUAUAAUUCUUCAAAAUUAAUUAACAUUAACAAUAAGUACCAAAGGGGUUAUUUAGUGAAAUUAAAUUUAAUUUAAAAGUUAGCCGCAAAAUGAAAAUAAAAACUUAAAACUUGGGUAGAUAUAUAAUAUUUUGAAACUUAUAGAAAAUGAAUCUUAAACUUAAAACUAAUGAUAAAUAUUAUAGUAGUUCAAAAUGUAUAAACUAACAUCAUGUUUACCGAACUAUAAAAAAAAUUGAUGUGAUUAUGAAAAAAAAUUUAUUGAUGGAUCAAUUGUAAUGAACUUGAAUCGUAAAUAUAACUAUAUUGUUUUUUUACGGCGUUUACUUACAAUCAAGAACUUUGUCAUAUUUAUUUUUACUUUUACCUCUAUCUCUUAAGGUCAAACAGUAACGUCGAUAAUAGUAAAAGAUGUCAAAAUUGAUAAUUUUUCAGUUGUAACAAUAAAAAUAACAGUAGAGAUAAUUAUAAUAAUAAAGUUAGCAAUACAAUGUAAUUUUCAAAGGAACGGUUGCAAAAAUAACCAAAAAUGUUAUGAUAAUAGGUUCUAUAUUAUUAUAUUUUAUAAAUUGCAAAAAUAACAAAUUUAAAAAUCGACAACCUUUUAAUAACCCUAUGAUAUAAUUAAUUUUGUCAUAUUAGCAAUAUAUAUAGAAAAAUAAGUGUUGUUGAAUAUUUUUUUCUAAAUGUUUUUAUCAUAUCAUACAAUUUUUUAUUUUGAAACGUAAUGAAAUUAUGAAAAGAAGUUUUUUGGAAAAAUAUAAAAAUUUGAAAAUUUUGAAAUAAUUGAAAAGAAAAGGGAAAACGCGUUAUGUGAUUUGAUUGAAUUGCAAAAGGGCAGGCCGAGGCUGCUCCCUUUAUUGUUUUUGUAUUAUCACAUAUCUAUAUUCAUUUCUCACGUGGGAAAAUGAAAAUAAUAUCUCUUCUUGCUCCCUACCCUUAUUAUCUACUCCUUCCCUUACAUUCCUUUUCUUCCACUUUUCUUUUAAUUUAAGAAUUUUUAGCCUUAAAGCCAAGUGAUAAUUGACAUCUCAUUUUCGAUCUGGCCUACAUGUGUGAGAUUUUGUCUUGGUAAGUUUACCAUAAUAGGAUGGUAACAAAUAAUUAAGGAAACUUUAAUUUUAUAGAGUAGGUCUACAAAAUAAUAAUGAUGAGUAUUUUUAAUAUAGUAAAAUAAAUUGAAAUAUUUACGAAAACAUACCAACAUUUCAUAUUUUAUAUGCUCAAUUUAUAUAUAAAACAUUGUAUAAUUGAAGGUUCAGUCCAAUAAUUGUAAUAUUCAAUGCUUCACUUUACUUCACUAUAAAUAUACUAUAAAUAUUCAAUAGAGUUGUCCAUUAUUUCAAAAGCAAAUGCCUUUACAAUGAGGAUACUGAGAUUUCCAUUCUUUUUUACUUGCAUAUGCAAAACUUUGACUAACAUAAAACGUAUUAAAUUCAACACCAAACAAAUUAAAAUAAUAUACAUGUUUUUUUUCACCCGUUUUAUUUUAGUACAAUAACUAUGAGAGAGAUGAUUGAGUAGACUUUUAAAGAUAAAAUUGAUGUCAAUCAUAUUAACCUAAUUAAGCUCGUUUUGAUAGUAUAACUUUGUCGAUGAUACGUUAGAUUUUCGUAAAGUUAAAAGAUUCAAAAUUGAUAAAAAAAUAAUUUAAAAAAGAAAAGAAAAAUGACAAAAUGGUGAUGUAGGAUUUUUUUUUUCUAUAUUCGUAAAUACAUUGAUAUUUUUUGAAAUACCCCAUUCAAAAUUCUUCUUCAAAUUUAUGAAAUUAGAAAAAUUAAAUAAGUUACAAUUGUUUAAUUACUACAAUUCAACCCAAUAUUAACCAUAUAUAAAUUAAUUAAUGAUUCUUCUCAAAGAAAAAUGUGUAUAUAAAUUAUCACCCCAAUUUUGUGGCACUAAAUGACCCAUUUUGUGCACUAAACAACAACAUUGAUAAUUACUAAUUAAUAUUAAUUAGUUAAAUUUUGAUUGACGGAUGACUUUAAUUAUUUAGUACUCUUAUUGAUGAUCAUCAUCAACUUGGCUUGAUACUGAUAUGUUUAGAAUAAAUGAUUGAUUUACAUUAAUUAUGCAAAUAAUUGUUUAAACAAUUUGAGAUGGAAUAUAAUUAUAAAAAAUGUAUAUGGAGAAAUUUUGAUGCGUAUAAAAAUGUCAAACUAUUUACCGAUAAUAGUAAGAUCGAAAAACACUUAUAGACAUUCAUAAACUUUAUCAAUGAUAUUCGUAUAUCGAUUUUCAUUACUGAUAGACAUCAAUAAAAUUUAUGAUAUAGACUUUUAUAAGUUUCUAUCUGCAUCUAUUAGUGAUAAGAUUAUGAAUUAUUAUCCAAAUAUAAACUAAAUCAAACCACACGAUCGUUAAGUUUGAGAGUGUAACGGUAGCUGCUUGUGUACCACAAAAAUAGUUUUUGAGAUUUAUCGGAUAAAAUAAUAACGUGAGCACAUGGCAAAAUGAAGUACGUUAAAAUAAAGAAAAAGGCAGUCUACCCCACACCAUAAACAUAGCCUUUUGGAGUGGGGAUUGAGACAACUCACUGUCCAUCUUCAAUAACUCAACUUUGUGUGUAACCAUUGCUUCAAUUCAUUAUUGGAUAGGACGUAGAUCUUUUAAGUUCUCUACUUCUACUUCAAACCACAAACAUUUAAAACCAAGUUAUUAUGAUUAUUAUUAUUUACUAUGUUUUUAUAAAUAGAGAUGCGAAUAGCACAGUUGGGAUUGAUUCAGUUAUUUAUUCAUUUCUUUAUGUUGAUCAUAAGCUAAAGAAUAAGAAUAUUGUAAACCAAAAUUGUUUGAUCGAAAAUAAUUUACAAAAUUUUAGAGAUUUGAUUAUCUAUUCCAAAACGGUUUGAUGUGUCCUUAAUAUAACUUUUGAAAUUAAAGGGAUUCAAUAUGGGUUAUCCUUAUACUCAAGUUCAAAAGUUAUUUGACAAUGGAAUAGGUACAUUCCAACUAAUAGGGAUUAAGUUGCUAAAGUGAAGAAUAAAUAAUACACUAAUUUUAAAAAAAUAAUAAAUAUAAGAAAACUCGAGGGAAAAAUCAACUUUUUCUUAACUUGGUAACGUAAAUGAAAAUGAUCGAAACUAAAAAAAAAUAAGGGGUCUUUUUAAAAAUAUAACAUAGCCACAAAAUAUUUACACGAUAUAUAACAAUUUCAAAAAUGGAAAAAAGCCCACACAGAUCCACCGUGAGAAAUACCAAAAAUAUCACGUGAUUAAUUGACAUCUAGUGCGCAUAAUUUUCUAUACCAUCGUUUAGAUUUGGAGUCAAGUCUAAAUGAUUUUUUUUCAAUAUUUUUUGGUACACGAUAGUUUAUAUUUGAAACACAAUCGUUUAUGUUUGAAAAACAAUCAUUUAGAUUUGACCUUUUAAAUUUGGCUACCCAGAUCUAAAGAAUUUUUCUUUUAAAAUUCUUUGUACAUAAUCGAUUUUUUAAAGAUUUUUUGUACACGAUCGUUUAGAUUUGACUAUCUAAUAUCCUAACGAUUUUUUUUUUUUAACAAUCUUUUAUUUUUGGAACAACGAUCUUGAACCAAAUAACAAUUUGAAAAGAAAAAAAAACUGCAGAAGAAAAAGACAACGAAAAUAAGAGUAGAAAUACGAUGAAAACGAAUGACAGACUUGAAAUAUUUUUAAAAAAUAGCAAGUUUGAUGGACUUUUUUAUUUUGUUACAUGGACCGUAAAUGUUUCACUGGACUGUUAUAUUUGUGAAAAUUAACGAAAAAGAAUAAGAGGAUUAUGAUUUUGAAGAUUGAAGAGAGUUGUAGGAGCAUGUGGUAUGAAGUUUGAUGAAUGAUUGUGAUAUGAUUUUAUAUGUUGUGAGAUCCUUUUAUUGCAUGUUGCAUGCCAAAUGAGUUAAGUGGUAAUUAUAUACUCUCUUAAUAGCAACUAUUCACACACUAGUCUUUGUCCCUUCGGGUACACCAAUUACUUUGAAUAUGUCUCACCUAUAAUACUAUAUAUUUAGUUAUUAUUCACUUAAAUGUUUCUUCAUAUAAAAUAUUUUUGUGUAGCUUCACCUCUAUAGUGUACGUAUUUUAAAUAUUCAUCCUUUCAUGAAACGUGUUAUUUUAAUCAACAUUUUAAGGGAUUCCAAAACCUAAGUUUGUUUUGAAAUUCCUACAAAAUUAUUUUACUCAUGUUUUAUUUAAUCAUCUAAUAAAGAUGUUUAUUUUAAGUAAGGAGGCCCCCUACUAUAAUUAUCUAAAGGAUCAUUUGAUUCAAUGUUUAUCUUGACGGUCAUGUACGUCAAGAAAAGCCUUCUUGUUUUGUUGAAGGAAAUAUGACAAAAUGUAAAAAAGAAAAUGUGGAUUCUUAAUUUUCUUGAUGGACAAAGUAAAGUUUUCUUAGUUUUAUUGAUGAUUCACAAACGUCAAGAAAACUAUUUCUUGAUGGACAAUACACAUCCAGGAUAAUAUAUUAGUUGGACUGACAAUAUUAGGUUUUUUUAUGAACGAUACCCAUCAAGAGAUGAAUUUUUGUGAUUCGCAAUAGCCAUCAUUGAAAAAAAUUAAUAUAUUUCUUUUGAAUUUCUUGAUGGGUCUAGGGUUUCUUGAUAGACAAAGACAAAAAAAAAAAAAAAUUAUGGGCAAUAUCCAUCCAGAAAAAUGGUAUGCUCGUCAAGAAAUUUUUUUAUAAUUUUGGGUUUAGGAUAAAAUCAUUUGUAUGACCCAUUAAGAAAAAUGAUAUGUCCAUCAAAGAAAAAAAUUAUUUUUCACAAAACACGAAAUUUAGACCCUUGUUAACCGACUCAGUGAGCACCAUAUUCAUCAAUAAAUGCCUUAAACAUUUACUAUUUUUUUUUCAAUUAUUACUUUCUAUUCAUCAAUAAUACAAUAUUAUUUUUCUAAAAGUUAAUUGUAUUAUUACUUUUCUAAAAGUUAAUUGUUUUAAUUAUAACUAGAUUGAAAUAAAUGUCUUUAUCAAAAUAAUUAUUGUGUUUAACUUUAAUGAGUUUUGAAGUUUGUAAUUUAGGAUUUUUAAAAUUUGUAGAAACUGGUUAACAUGAGCUUAGUUCAACGGAAACAUAUAUGCACAUGUGGCCAAGAGGUCCCCAAAUUCAAAUAUCACCACUUGCAUUAAAAAUUUGUAGAAGCUGUUUAUAAAUUUGGAAUUCAACGUUACAAAUGUUAGUACAAGAAUCAAUUAGCAAGGAGCUAAGGUGGGUGUGAGAAAAGAUGAACUCAAGAUCAUGAAGAUAAAGUCUCGUGUGCAUGUAGUGGCGGACGAUAAACUCCAAUUAACUAGCGAUUAUCAUUUUGAUAAAAUCUAAGAUUUUACUAUAUUUUACAAAUAUUUUUAACAAUUUUUUAAUUAACUAUCCAUUUCCUAAUAUUUAAAUAACUUUGCAUACUUCUUCAAAACUUUUAGAUUAAAUUAAAAAAAAAAAGUUAUAAAGAAAAAAGAAAGUUAGAAAAUGUCAGAAAAGUCAUGAAAAAAAGCUAUGGUUCACUCCACAAGUGACAAUUGCUAGAAAAUGAAAAACUGCCAAAAGGCAACAAAGGAAAAACACAGUUGCCCAACCUUUAUCAUAUAUAUGUAUCAGUUCUUUUCCAUCACUGUUUUGGACCAAUUAGUUCAUGAUUUAAAUAUGAAAAUACAAACACAAAAUGAGAAAAAAGGGGGGGUUCACUUCACGUGAAUCACUAAUGCCCACACCAUAACCUACUGCCCCAUCGUAAUUAAUGUAUUGUUACACACAAAAUCCCAAAACUUAAACAUCCUGUACUGUGCUAGAGGGUGACGGUGGGUAGUGCCAUUUGCCAACCCAAGCGGGCACCAAACAACGAACCCAACAUCGCAUCGCCCUUGUAAGCAGCAGUCUACUCAACAAAAUCCACAAGCUUCGUAUAAUAACCAUCCCCAGCCAAGUUUAAUUUAUUGCACUGAUAAGAAUCAGUACAAUCAGACAAACUGGAGGGGAGGACCAAAAGAGUUUACUCUAAAGAGACAAACCUAAUAGUAAUUGCUUCAAGAAUUUUGAUAUUUCAUUUGUAUUCAACCUUGGUACAACUUGCAAAAGAAACCAAACAUUUUUAAUGCUUACUUUGAAGUUUUGAGAAAUCAUUGAUACACACGUUUUAAUUUUGAGGAUUAAAAAAUGUAAUUUAUUCUGAAUUCUUCUAUCAAAUUAAAAUAUUAUUUAAGUUUUUUAACUUGCUUCCUGUUUUGACUCACAAACUUCCUCACAAAAAGUUAAAUAAUUACUCAACUCUACUAAUAUUGAAGUUUGUAUAUUGAUUGAAAAACUCUAUCAAUGAAUCCAAUUGUUUCCCCCGCCAAUGACAAAACUCGGGUGAUAUUCAUUGCUAAAGACAUGCUUUGAUGACCACUUCUAAUGUCUAACUUCAGAAGCACCUGUUGUUGAUGACCACUACUGCCCUAUUCCAACUACAAUGGUUUGAUGACCACCUCUGGCAGCAAACCCCAAUAUUUUACCACCUCCAACAAUCCUCUCCCGCGACCACCUCUGGCGUUCAACUCCGCUUAAGUACUACUACCUCCAACAACCCUACAUUAGUGAUCACCUACAGUGACCAACUGCGAGCACCAAGUUAUUGAUCAUCUUCAACAUUAACUCCCAAUGACCAUCUCAAUCAAUCAUAUACUAGAAAAGCAUGAUCAUUAGUGAAAGUGUUUUAUAAGCAUAAAAACAAUGGGUUAACAGGUACACCCAGAUCAUUUCCACUAGAUGAACAUCUCCUUUAACACUCUUAGCAUUCCUACUUUAUUGAUGAUCAAGAAAUACAAUACAUGAAGCAAGGAACAAGUAAAAAGGGCUAGAAAUAAGUCAGAACAAGAUCCUAAAAUUAUACAAAAGCUUGAAGAUUUACAACAAUAAAGCUAACAAUGUAAUUGUUAAAGAGAUUUGAUCUACUAUUCCAAUAUCUGGUGAGAGUUUGAAUGUCUUCCCUCCACCAUGGAACUAUUCUUAUUCUUGAAAUUUUUGUUGUUCUUCUCAAACCAAAUGGUCCAAAGGAACAAAUGAUGUUAAAAACAAUAGUAUCUAUUUUCCUUUUUUAUGCCACAGAUGUUCUUGCAUAAUGAAGCUAUAUUGUUCAUAAUGUUUAACAAUUGUCUUAUAUAGUAAUCUUACAUUAAUAUAAAUACUUUAAUUUGAGCAUUACAGUCAAACCAAGAAAUUGUGUAUGAAAACACUUCAUGAGAAAAUGAACCUAAUAACCCAUUUGUAUUUUUUAAAAAUAGUUUUUAAUUAUAAGAGUUAAAAAUGCAAAUGACUUUCUAAAAAACAUUUUACAGCUCAACCAUUGGAUACCACCAUGAUUGCAUCUUUUCAAAUGCUCAACUUCUUUCUUCAACCCUCAUUACAAGUAUAAACUCUAAUGAUUUUAUUUUUAUUUUCAUCCAAAAUGUCCUCUCGUAUCAUUCAAGAUAGUUAUCCUUUCAUAUAUACUCAUUGUUGCGAAAUCAACAAUUAAAUAAUAGAAGAAUAUAAAGAUCGACAUAAAAAGAUAUGUGUGGUUCAUUAACAGUGUAUUAGCUAUAUUCACGUAUAGAGAAAAAAACAAAUAUUAUUAGAGCGAAUGUUUUCACAAUACAAUAUAUGACGUCACUGGAUUAGAAAGUUUAUAUAUAUGCACUUCUCUAAACCUUAAGCUUAAAAUCAUAAAUAACAACAUAUGCACAUCUCAAUUGUUUAUUUAGUGCCACAUAAAGAACCCAAGAAGAACACCCAUGAUUAUGAUCCUCUCAUCCAUGCAAUGUGCGUGCGACUUCGAUCACAUUCCUAAUACUAAAAUAGAGGCAUAAUACACUGCAAUCUACAAUUUGACAUAAUGCCAUACAAAGUCCUAUGCCACCCCUUGAUGAAGUACUACGUUUUUUAUGCAUUUUACUUUGAUACAUUCUAAUUUCUACUAUUCAGAAAGUGUAAAUUUUUUAUGUUUAAUUUGUGUAAAAUAAUAGUAUUUUGCAAACCUCGAGUAGAAUGGUUACAUAUUUUUAGGAGAAUUGUGACUAGCUAGAGAGAGUCAUUAGGGUACAAUUAGUUUUACUCACAUUAUAAUUAUGGUCUUUUUUUAAUGAUCAAAUUACUUAAAUCAUAUAUAAUUAUAUGAUUUUUUAUCCGUCGUUGGGAUUAAUAAUUGGAAAAUUACAUCAAAUAACAAAAACAUUUAGAAAAAAAACAAUUCACGACACUAAUUAUUUUGCAUAUUGUGAAUAUAAAAAAAAAGAGUGAUAUCAAAUGAUUAUCAGACAGUAAUCGAAGGACUAUCAAACGAUGGUCAUAAGACUAUGAGACAAUCACCACUUUUAUAUUUGUUAAUUUUACAAAUUUAGAAAAUAGUGUGACAUGAACUCUAUUAUCAUAAAAAAAAUUCUAUUUUUGCAAAAGCCUCUUAAUAAUUGUGUCUCAUCAUCGUGAAAAUCAUCCUAAUUUAUCUAAUACAUUAUUGGAAGAAAGAAACUUUCAUAUUCUUUUUUCAUAGCUAUUCAUUAUUAAACAUGAAAAUAUAAAAGAUGGACAUUGGCAUCCAACAUAUUUACUAGAGCUAGUUAUAUAGUUUAGUAGUUAAGAUAUAUAUCUGUAUACUUUUAACCUCAAACGUCAAAGUUUGAUGUGAUUCCAACUCUACAAUUAUUGAAUUUAGAAAACAUGCAUAUAUACAUAGAUUAGAAAAAAGUAUAUAUUAAAAGCAUGAAAAUUUUUCCAUUGAUCUUGAAAUUGUAUAGAGUAAAUAAGGGACCUUGGAAGCCAUUUAGUAGCAUCAUUUUUCUGUCGUAAGCUUUAAGAAUUAAUACUACUUACUACUUGUUCUCUAAGUCAUCACGUCUCGGUCAUGUUGGCGAUUGCAAAUUGUUGGAAAAAUAAAUAUCAAUCAUUAUUAUGUUGUAUGUUGAACCACUGUCUUAGAAACAAAACUUUGGUCCAAUCUUAGUGCUAAAUCGCAUAUAUUGGUUGUUCCACAAGAUUAACACAUCUCUAUUGCUCUUAAUUUAAAUGUUUUUGUAUAAUCUACUUUUUCGGAUUGGUUUCUGACUUUGGAUCUCCCUUGGACUUUCCUCUAGUCCUUAUUUUUGCUUCCUUGCUUCAUGUACCUAUCGUUUAUUAUUAAUAGAACGAGAAUGAUGAUGGUGCUACAAAUGUGUCUACCUAAUGAAGAUGUUUCAGUGCAUCUGCUAACUCAUAUCAUAUUUUUUUAGAAAAAAACGUAUACUUCUCUAACUCACCGUGGAAUGGAAUCAAACAAAAUGUUACUCAAAACAAACAAAUGAAAGUUUCAAAAAAGAAGAACCACUCCCAUCACCAAAAUCUUUCUUCAAAUAUAUAUAAUAGUUUUAAAUCUAUAAUUUUUAGUGCAUUAAAAUAUAUUAUUAUAACCACAAAACCAUUAAAUAUUCUAAUAAUUAUCAUUGAAACAUUAGUUAUAAAUCAUUACAAUAAUAGUCAUUCAAUUACACAAAUAUCCUAAAACGAGGCACAAAUCAUUACUAUAUAAAUUCAACUCGUAAUCGUGGCAAGUAUUAAGAGCAUCUUGAAUCAUCUAACAGCAUUCUUCUACCCAUUGGUUGGGUGGAUCAAAAUCAGUUGCAAUAUCAACACAUCCUAAUAAUAUGUAAUCACUUGCAAUUGGUGGAGGUGGUUGAUCAGCAGUGACAAAAGAAAAGAAAAAAGAAGGUUGAGAACUGGAGAAGAAGAGAGCAAGUGAAGAGGUUUUGUUGGAAGAACCCAAAAGAGGAAAUUCUUAGAGAGAUAUUUUUAGAGGGGUGAAAAGAUCAGUGUGGUAAUUAUGGAAGGGUUUCUAUAGGGUCUUAAGAAAGAGGGCUGUGCAUGAGCGUCCUGGUGGAUAAACUCAUUGUUAAUUAAGUUAGGCUCAUUAUCUAUAUUAAUUGAUUUGCAAAUCUUUAUGAAGUGGAGAUUACAAUAUUUGUUGAUCAUAUUUGCUGUGAUUUCCACUAAAUUACUUUGUCUUUCAGUGUUAGUGUGAUUUAAAAUAAGCAGGCAUUCGGUAUUUUAAAACUCAGUUAUUCCUCUCAAGUUGCAAUGCUGAAGAUAUUAUUGAUGAACAUAACAAAGUUAAUUAGUGGGCUAACCCAUUUUCUAAGAUAUUGGGGAUGAAAAAAAAUAAUUUUAAUAAUAAGUAUGCAAAACCUAAUGGGAAUUUGACUUUUCUCCAUGUCCAAACCAAAAUUAUCUCUUUAUGAAAAGAAUCAUUAAAAAUAUUUUUUAUUGGCAAUGUCAUCCAACCAUUUGUAUUAGGUUAAUCCCGAACAACGAAAUUUUACGUUCACCCCAAACUUAAAUCGCUCUCAAAUUUUGUGAGUAGAGAUUUCUUGAUUUGCAUACUACUUCAAACAACAAAUAUUUCAUGAUUGACAUGACUUAUCAAAAAAGAGUUACCUUGACUUUUCAUGGCUAUCCAACGAAUUCAAAAACUGAAAAAUCAUCAUUUUUACGAGAGACGACUUACAUAUUUAAUUUGUUUAUCAAGGAAGGUAAUUUUCUUGACGAACGUGCACAUUCAAGGUAAAUAUGAACAUUUAUUGUAUAAAAAAGUAUUUUUUUUUUAUGGUCAAGAAAACUAAGUUUGUGUGCGUAAGAAAAACAAAAGUUUAAAUGAAACAAGAGCAUUUUGUCGGCCAUAAAUAAUACAUUACGUUACGUACGUAUACAAAAAGAAAUGUAGAAUUUAUGUCUUAAGUUAAGUUGAUAUAUAUUUUUGUACGGUAAAUAUGUGUGUAACUGUAGUGUUAAACCAAAAAUUAAGCAAAAAAUUUAGUCUAGUUUUAGGUCAACAACAAAUGGGAAACAAAGAUUUCUUAACUUCACUGUCAUAUUAAUUUCAGAUUUUAGAACUUUACUCAAUUGGUCACUUAGAAGGCUACGUUUUUUAUUUUCUAUAAAAUAAAGUAAUGUAUUUCAAUAUGUCCUUUCUUUUAUUAUCCACAAAUAAGUUGAAUUGUCCACUUGUCACUCACACAUAAGAUAAAAUAGACAAAUGUUAUCACAUUUAGAAAAGGUAAGAUAUGAUUGUACGUGUAAUCUUGUAAGAUAUGUCGUUUGUGUUUCAAUAAUUAUUCAUGGAAUUCAAAUAAUUAACUCAUCACGUUUCUUGUGGUUCUUAAUUAUAUAAAGUUUUCUUUCUGUCCCAUUGAUUAAAUUACAAAUGUACUAUAUCAUAUAAUUGAUCUCUAAUCACAUCAAUAAUAUGUAAUCAAUUUUUUUAAUUUCUAGUGUGAAGUAUCUUUGGUAUAAUUUCUUUUUUUUUUAUCAUUACUUUAGUUUAUUUAAUUAACAAUAAAUUAUGAAGAUUAAAAAAAUAUCUAACUUUUGAAACAAACGUAUAAGUCAGCUUAAAUAAUGUUACUCUCUAUAUUAUCAAAAGUAUUAAUUCAAUGUAAUGUUCACACCCAAUCGUUCAUGCCAUUAAAUCUUAGUUCGCUUUAAUAAUUGGAUUAUGUUUGUGUGAACGAAAAAAACUGAACUGAGUUUAAGAAAGAAAAAAGUAUUACGAAAAAUAUCAUCUAUAUAUAAAGAUUUGUCGGUAUAUAGCAAAAAAUAUAUCUUGCGAACAAAUUUUAAGUUUAAUCUACUGUAGCCUUUAAACUUAGAUUUAGGUUGGAAAUACGCUCAAAAUCUUACGGCGGUUAAAUAAUAUGAGUUUAUAAAGGAAGAUACAAUUAUUUCUAGUGGUUAUGAACUUUUUAGAAUGUGAAACUCAAAAGAAAGUCUUGAAGAAAGUCGGUCUAAAAGUUGAUAAUAUCAUAUCAUUAGAGUAAUAUCUGACAAUUUAAAUAUUAUUUUUCAAUACAAUUUUGAGUUUAUUUAUUUAUUAUUAUUUUGUAUUUUAAAACUUUCUAAGGCCCCAAAUUAAACUACGUAAAGCUAAGCUUAGGUUUUCAAUAAUCCUUCCUAACUCUUUUUUUCACUAUUCCACGUCUCUUUUUCAAUCAUUUUCAAAUUUUGAGAGAUGGAUCCCACACGUCAUUUUCCACUUUUCUACAUUUUCCCAAUUUCCUUUUCUCUCUCUUUCUUAAUUUAUUUCUUUAUAACAUCCUUUCUUUUUCUAUUUUAUUCCUUUUUUUCCUUUGUUGUCUCUUUCCUUCUUUUUUUUUUUUUCCUUCAUUUUCUUUUUCAUUCUUUUUUUUUUUCCUUUUUUUUCUUCUUAAAAUAUAUAUUUAGAGUGUGUUUGGAGUGGAAAUUUACGACGAUUAGAAAAAUGAUUAUAUGGCUCAAACAUUGUAUGGGUCAAGGUUUUCCAUUUUUGAGGAUUAGGGUUAAAAAACCCUAUAAACUAUCAUACUUUAUCUUUUCAUAACCCUACAAAUUUUCCUACUUCACCUUUUCAUAAUCCUACAAAUUUUUCUACUUCAUCUUAUCAUAAAAUUACACUCAUAACUCUUCUCCCAAACACUUGUUAUAAUAACACUACAAUUAUAACCCUUUCCCCAAACGUAUAUUAUCAUAAUACUAUAACAAUAAUCUUUUCUCCAAACACAUAUUAUCAUAACACUACCAUUCAUAUUACUUCUCCCAAACACAUAUUACCAUAAUACUACCAAUAAUAACCCUAACAUCAAACAUAUAUUAUCAUAACACCAUCAUAAUCUUUUUUUCCCAUAACUCAUUCCCUCCUCCAAACGCACACUUAAAGUUUAUUUUGUAGACUUUUUCACUUCCUAUAUAUGAAUUAUAAUUGUUCUUUUUCCAUUGUUUACUCGUAUAUUCAAUAACUCUUCUCUUUACAUUUUAUUUUUAUUUGUUUUAGUACAAUAAUUUUAAUAAUAUAAGUUUGUAAUUAUAUGUUUUCUAUUACAUGGGCACACAAAAAAAAUAAAUUAAUGAAAACUAACGAUUCAAGCUAAAUUUAUGAAAUGAGUUUGAACGUCACAAUUAAGAAGAUUAAAAAAAUUAAUUUGAAGCAAAAUUUUGUAUUUCAUAGAAAAUAUAUAUGCAUAAAAAAAAAAAAGAUUAGUGCAAAAGAAAGAUUGAAGCUUAAUUUAUGAUAUAGACGUAGUAAUUAAAAAACUUUUUUCAUUCUGAUGUACCAUAUAUAUGCAUGCAAAAAAAAAAAUGGUAAAAAGUAACAAUUAAUAAUAGCAGUUUUAACGUUGUAAUUAUGAUGAAUAAGGAAAAUGUGUUUUAAGAAAAAUAUUGCAUUUCAUGAAAAAUAUAUGUGGCAUGGAAAGAAAUAUUAGUGAAAAUGCAAGAUCCAAGCUUAAAUUAUUGCUAGGAAUCUUGUAAUUAGAAGCUUACUUAAUUCGAUGUACAUUAUAUAUGUAUGAAACAUCACGAUUGAUGCUACAUUUAUUGAAUGAAUAUCAUAAUAAAAAUUAUUUAAUAAAAUCAAUUUAUGAAAAUCGUGUAUUGGAUCUACAAUAUAUAUUUUAGUGAAAAAAAUUUAUAAAAAACCUAGAUUGUAAUAGUCUCCACCCAAAAUACACAGUUUAUAAUAACACAUAUUAUUAUCAUAUAUAAAACACAAAUUAUCAUAGUCUACAACCCAAAUGCAGACUAUCAAAACAGAUUAUAAUAGUGUAUGCGCUCCAAACGUAGACUAUCAUAAUACUAGAACUAUCCUAAAUCACUCGCUCCCUAACGUCCCUUUAAAUAUAUGUAUGAAAAUUUUGUUUUUUAAUUAAUUGAUUUAGUUUUUUUUUUCUUUACUUGUUUUAGGUUUUUCUUUUAAUAUUAUCAAAAUAUCUAUUUAAUCUUUUAAACUUUAAAACAUUGGCCAUUGGGUAGCAAUUUUAAUUUUUAGUUUUUUUUUUUUUAAAAAAAGCUAAAAGCAUUUAAACAUUCUUUCCCUUUUUUUUUAAUCUUUUAUCUACUUCUUUACCAAUAUUUUAACAAUCCAAGUUAAAUCUUGAAAAUUAAAAAAAAAAUUGUAAUUUCUUUCGCAAAUAAUUUAACUAUUAUACAUAAGAAUAUGCAAAUUAUGGUAAAGAAUUUGAAAAUAAAUAUUCUUAGUUAAAAAAAAAAAACAAAAGUAAAAAGAUUAUAGAAUAAAGUCUAGUACAUUUUAAAAAUAUCUCACACGUAUAAUAGAAAUAAGAAAAGUACUUACAUGCAUCUUAGACAUUUUACUUAUGUUUCGUACAUUCCACCAAAUUGUCCAAUCAUAACUUAUCAUAUACCAAAUUUUGCUAAUUUUCUUUUCUUUUAGUAGAGUAUUUUAAUAUGUUUUUAUGUAAAUGGUAAGAAGGGAUGUACAAAUUAAAUGAAAUGCACCUAAGCAUACUUACUCUAUACUAAAUAUUCCCCCAACUUCAAUCAACCCAUGCCAACUUUCAAUACACGACCUAUGCUACGAGAAGAUUUAAAAUAAGGGGAAUGGUUUCGAAUACAGCAAAAAUGAACUAAAAUAUUUAUAAAUUAUAGCAAAUUUUUAUAUUCUCUAUCAACUACAGACACUCGUAGUCACUAAUAGAAGAUUAUCAAUAGUUAUGGGUGUCUACAAUUCAUAGAAUAAUUUAAAAUUUUGUUUUAUUUUAUAAAUAUUUUCACCAAUUUUAUCAUUUACAAUAAUUUUUUUUAAAAUAAACAUAUUUAAAUAUGGGAAUAAACUUUGAAUAAUGUAUAUAUCUCAAAAAUGUUUCCACUCUAAAAUUUUUAGUUUCAUUCCAAUUCAAUAUCUUAAAGUUCAAUAAUUGUUACAAACUUUACCCUAAUUUAUUCAAUCUCUAGCAAAUUUAAUUUAUUCAAUCUCUAGGAAAACAUGUCUCUCAAAAAAAAAAAUCAAAUAACACAAAAGAAAAAAAAACAUCCAUAAUUCAUUGAAUUAUUAAAAGCAAACAAACAUUACACCAAACGAAGCCUGCAUAAGAUCAAAUUAAUCGAUCAAAUUCGACUGAAUCAAUAAAAAAACAGAACUUUAGAGCCCCGUUCAGUCAUUAUUCAAUUUUUGGCUUCGAAAAUUUUGCAGUACCAAGUGACAGUUUAAGAAUAUGAUAAUCAUACGUUUUUUUUCCUUUUGUAGAUAUGACAAUUUUUAGUGUGUCAAAAAUAUGAAGUGUAUCGUAUAUAUCAAAGGUGUAUUUUUGUUUUUACUCCCAUCAAUUUUAUAGUGGAGAUAUGCUAAAUUCACAUCAUAAUUAUACUUUUCUAACUAUGAAUUAUAAAAAUAUAUUAAAAGGUAAAAAGUAUAAUAGUUCACACCUUUCGAGGUUUGUAUUCAAUUUAAUUUUUCAACUGACCACUAUAUCAAUUUAAAUUUUAAAUUUUCAAAAGUGUAUUUCUUCUUAAUCAAAAUAUUGUGUUAAACUUUAUUGAGUUUACAUUUGAAAAUCAUCAAAACAUUUAAAAUCCUACACAUGUGCAUGUAGAUGUUUUCGAUCGUCGAAUUAAUAAAAUGAACUAUUAAACAAAAUUGAUAGAUGGAUAAAUUUCAAACAAAAUGUUGAAAAGUAUUCCAAAUUGAUUCGUGAAGAAAGUUUAAGCAUUUAAUCAAUAAAAUUCAAAAACAAAACAAAACUCUUGAAAAGUGUAGGAAUAUAAAUGACUAUUUUUACAAUAAUAUUAUAUUGUUAGACAAAUCCAUAGAUAGUGUAUAUACUAUGCUUAUACUUCCAUCGUUUAUUAUUUGGUGGUAAAGGCACCAUGGAAUUGUGUAGAUAUCAAAUAGAGUGAAAAUCUUUUGUUGGAAACACUUUUUCAUAAUUACCUCAAACAACAAUUGAUGGAUUCAAAGGAAAAGAGGCAAUAAUGGUGGUGGAGGGGUAAUAAUUCCAUCAAAUAAUUAUAUUUCUUUAGUGCAUUUCCUUUAGUUGUAUUUUGAUAAUUAAUGGAAUGAUUAAUUAUUAUGCUCAAUACCUUUUUUUUCAUACCAUAAUUAAGUUUGGUCUUGCAUUAAUGAUAAAGUUUUGAAUUGUACAUGUAUGAUGAUUUUUAACUAUUGUAUUUUUUAAUUUUGUUACGGUACAACUAUGGUGGAUGGUUAACAGUUAAAUGAUGUUAGUUCUUAGUUCAUAAUCAACAGGAAGCUAUUAGAUUAAAUUACGAUAACGAUUUAAUGGUUGGAAAGACAAUUUUGGAAUACAAUGGUGGUAGUUUAUAUGUAGCCAACAUCAUAUAUUUUCAAGCUAAGUUUAAAUAAUGGAUGAAAAAAAUGUUUCAUAGUCCAUUUUAACUUGUCAUUCCUAUAAACUAAGAAAACUCCAUUAUCAUUGUCUCUUCUUUCUUUGUUAAAAUACAACUCAAUUCACAUCAUGAGAAAAAAUGGUUAAGUCAUAGAGAUUAGGAUCAAACCAUGGGGACUGUUUUUAAGGUUUUAUAUAAAAAAAGAGCUGACAGAAAAAAUAGCAAAUUAAUUUACUGGUUUAUUUUAGAUAAAUGACAAAAUUUAAUUUAAAUCGAUAAUAUAGCAAAAUUGUUAAAAAUGAAAAGCAAAAAAGCUGCAAAAAGACGGUGAAAAAAACCCAUCACAAAUAUAAUUAUUUCAAAACCCAAAAUACCUUAUAAUUGAAUUAGACUCCUGACUAUUACCAAGAUCGUUUCAACUUUCUCUCUAAUUUUACCCUACCAAAACUAUCGAACCAAUUAAAAGCCAUAAAAUUUCAAUUUUCCCUCAAACUCAGUUCGUCUACCCUCAUCUCCAUUGAAGUCAAUUUCAAAACUUGAAGUAAAGUGUCAGCUACUAUAACCUUUGAAAGAGCAGUGAUAGUUCACAAAAAAUCCUCUCAACUAAAAGAAAGACAUCCAACUUCGAUUUCUGCAAAAACAAAGUUUGUUUUGCCUUUUCUUCUUUUGUGUUCUCCUCUGAUUCCUGCAGCUUAGUUAAAUUGAUGGUUAAUAGCACAGUGUCAAUUAUCUUGAUGGACCGAUGCAAUCAGUCAUCCACUCCACCAUAAAUUGACUGUAACAGUAUCCAUUGAAUUUCUCCUCUAAAAAUAUCAACAUGCAUAAAAAUAUUUAAAUUUCACAAAAACAUGGGUGUUAUGGCCUAUUUUUCUCAAAAUGUUUUUUUUUGUCGGAUAUUUCUCAAAUUUAAAGGAACCUUGGGCCUUGGGCCUCCUCCCCACAAAAAUCUCGUUGGGCCAUAAACGAGUUACCCACUACCCAAGGCGUCCACUUUAUUCAUCGGAGCUCAGGUUGCAUGAACCGCGGAGCUCCGUCCAUCAAUGGCCAUCAACAAGCCUCCUCCUACUACAAAUUCCGACAACGAACGCAUCGUUAUUGGAUCUGCCAUAGCCUCACGGCUUCUUCUACUCUUCUUAAUCGUCUUCUGGCGUUUUCUCCUCAGCCCUUACGACACUUCAGCAUCGCUUAAUCCUUCAUGCUUAAUCAACCCAUCUUCUUUACCCCUCACCCAACAACCAGUUCUUUUUCCUCAAAUUGGCUCCGCCAUUGAGAGCAGCAUUGUCUGGGAUGGCGUCUACUUCGUCCGAAUCGCUCAGUGCGGUUAUGAAUAUGAGAAAUCCUACGCCUUCUUGCCCCUUCUCCCUUUCUGCAUUUCCCUCCUGUCCCGCACAGGUUUGCUAUUUAUACUUCAUUUCGUUGUUUAUUCCAUUGUUAUUUUUAUUUUAUUGGUUAUUAUGUAGAAUGAUCGCUUCUUACAUUUUACUUGGGUGGCUUAUGAACAACUGCCGAUGUGCUUCGGGGAUUAAUUCAUUUUUUGUGUGGUUAAUGCGGUUCUAAUUUUGGUACAGUAUUGUUGCCUUUGGUUCCGGUAAUUGGGCAUAGAGCUGUAUUGGGACUGUCUGGAUAUCUAAUUAAUAACAUUGCUUUUGUCCUUGCUGCACGUUAUCUUUUCAGGUGGGUUUGUUGAGAUUACGAGUUUUUGGCCUGUAAUUCUUAGGUUUAUACUCUGAUUUUUCAAAUGGGUAAAUAGCCAUUCAUCUGCUUUUGUACUUUCUUGCUUUUAUUCUAUGUAAAAUCCUGACAUCUUCUACCUGGUCGCUGUAAUAGGCUUUCACUUAUUAUUUUGAAGGAUGCGGAAGCAGCAAUGCGGGCUUCAGUUCUGUUUUGCUUCAAUCCUGCUUCUAUAUUUUAUUCAUCAUUGUAAGUGACUUUUUCUUUCCUAUAUCACUAUGGGCGUAAAAGGUUUUGAUGGUGAUGGACUAUACUUGCAAUUGUAGAUAUACUGAGAGUUUAUACUCGCUAUUUUCAUUGGGUGGAUUAUAUCACUUGAUGAGUGGUAGAAGUAGUGUUUCUGCUCUGUGGCUAGCUCUUUCUGGCUGUGCUAGGUCCAAUGGAGUGCUUAAUGCUGGUUACAUCUGUUUUCUGACUAUGCAUUGGGCUUAUGAUGCUCUUUUUCUGAAGAAAUGUAUCCGUGUAAGUAUCCUUUCUAAUUAAUUGAUAAUGAGUUUUAUAAUGUCUGUUUGUUAAGUUAUCUUGGUUGAGAAGUAAUGCAUUUCUCUAAUUGUUUGUGUUUCUGAUUUAUUGGUCAAAUUUCUCUUUUGAGUUUUCCUUUUGUGAUGCAGAUUUCUUGUGCUUUUAUACAAGACAGAAUCGAGUUGUUUUGUAAUUAUUCUCUUUUAGAUAUUGGUAAAAGUUGGAGUAUUUUUAUGUAAGCUCUUAGGCAAUUUUGAGGAGAACUCAUCUGCUCUUUUAUGCUUCAUUUUCUGAUGGAGUAGGUCCUUUUACCCUUCUUUUUACUAGGAGAUUUCUUUGGAAAGUUGGGCUCUUGAUUAUUUUGUAGUAUAUUUGGUCAGAGAGAAAUAGAAGAGUUAAGGUCCUUAAUCAAAGUGGCUUUAUUUAAAAGAAAAAAAAAAAUUUAGAUAGACAAAAUUUCACAUUUAUUAGAAGAAAAGUACAAGAGACGGUGGACAAAAGCUUCAUUUAGGAAGGAACUUAAGAAAAAGCAGUCCUGUAUUGUUUAACUAUGAUAAACAAAAAGGAAGUUGAAGAUGUAAUGUUCUAACUUUGUUUCAUGGUCAGCAAUGUAGCAUUAAUAAUAGUUUAUUAUUUAUUCCAGAAGGGACUGCAGGUUCUCAUUUCUGGAGCCCUAAACUGUGUCUUUAUAUUUGCUCCAUUCAUUGGAUUUCAAGCAUAUGGGUAUUACAAUAUUUGCAGUGGACGGAUACCAGAAGAAAUGAGGCCAUGGUGUAAAGCUAGGGUACCGCUGCUAUACAACUUUGUUCAAAGUCACUACUGGUAUUGACUUUUUAACUUGCCCAGUAUUCCAAACUUUAUAUCAAUAUUCUGUAGACCAUAGAUGACUUCGUAAUUAUUUUCAAAAUCUUUAGAUAAUCCUGUAAUUCUAGGGUUUCUCAUAUAUAAAUGUUUGAACUUGAAAUAGUUUGGAAGUGUAGGAACUUGUCGACAGAGAGAAUUAGGUUACAAGAAUCAGUUAUUAAUCUAACUAUCAAUUUGAACAACUCAGUAUCCCAACUCUAGAGGAUACUAAUUAUACUUUACAAGUGAGAAAAAGAAAUUAUAAAUUUUAUCAAUGAAGAGAAUUUUACAAAGAAUGAGUCUGUCAAGACUCGACAGGAUAAAGUUUCUUCUCUCUGAAGGAAGAGUUAUGAAGAAGAAUAGGGUUCCAAUCACUGCACAAAAAUUCUAAAGGAAUCCAAUUCAUAACAUUGCAAAUGCAAAGUUAUAGACAGCUUCCUAACAUCCCCUGAUACUGACAGGAUGAAUAUGUUAGAUACCUAGAUUAGUAUAGGGCUAAAGGUAGUUAGUUAUGUAGGCAGUUAGAUGGUUAUAAAUAGGAAGUUGGGGAGGGAAGAAAAGGGAGAUUAGUUUUGUGGGUAGUUUUUCUGCACUCUUUCUUGUUCUUAGUUAGUUUCUAUAUUUUCAUUUCAUAUCAAAUUUUUUUUGUAAUAGUGAGUUUAUAUCAAUUGAACAAGAACACGUUUAUUGGUGUUCCAUCAGAAUAACAAUCACAUCCUGAUGCUAUCAUACUCAUUAAGGAAGCAGUGAGAUUAUGUGGCUUCCCACGUUCAAUUAUCUCUAAUCGUGACAGGAUAUUUGUGAGACUUUUGGAAUGAAUUGUUUAAGAUACAAGGAACCCAACUUCAAAAAAACGCCACCUUCCAUGUUUAGAUGGACGAACUAUGUGAGAUUGUCAACAAGUGCUAGGAGAUCUAUGAAGAUAUUGAAGAAAAUGAUUUGUAAGAACAUCUUUUGAAUUUUCUUUUGUUACAUGUCAGGAACCAUGCGAUUUUGGUAAGUUGAAAGGGUGGGAUACUUUGGUUGGGUGUGAAGUAGGACCAUUUCCUUCUUCAUACUUGCAUCUCCAUUUGAGCCACAACCACAAGAUUUGUUUUUGGGAUCUCAUAUUGAGUUAUUGUGAGUAAGAUUCAUAAGAGACUCGUCUUGGAAAGAGCUUUUUCUUGAAAGGUGGUGGAUUUACACUCAUUCUAUUUGCGGAGUUCUCGAAAGAGGUUGCAACGAGAUGGUUGAGAAGUUCCAUCUCAAUCCUUCUUUUUCAUGAGAAUGAAAGGUUUUUAUGGUGAAUCGGGAUGUGUGCAGUCUUGUGGGACUUCUGGGGAGUGCAGAGCAAAGCUUGAGAGAUCGUUGAGUGAUGUUUGGUUUAUUGCUAGUUCUAACGUUUCUUCAUGGGCCUCAAGUCUAUUCUUAUGUGAUAGAAGGCCCUUGUUUUAAAUUGUCCACUUUUAAGGAGCUUUACUUUUUGUAUCCUCUUGUAUUAUUUCAUUCUCUCUUAAUAAAUCCUCUGUUAUAAUCCUCUGUUAUUCAUUAUAUAUAUAGAUAGGUAGAGUCUAAUUUUAAGAGCUUUAUUUUUUUGGGGGUUUUUACAAAAAUAACAAAAAAAUUUAUGAUAAUAGAGUUUAUGUCACAACAUUUUCUAAAUUCUAAAUUUGCAAAAGUAGCAAAUUUAAAAGUGAUGACCUCUGAUAGCCAUAUGAUUGUCGUCUGAUAGCCUUAUGAUUACCGUCUAAUAGUCGUCUAAUAUCACUAAUUUUACCAUAUUUGCAAUAUGCAAAAAAUUGAUGUCAUGAGCUUUUUUUUUCUAAAUAUUUUUGUCAUUUGAUGCAAUUUCCCUUAUUUUUUUAUGCUCUUGAUUUAUUUCAUUUCUGCUCAAUAAAUCCUCUGGUAUUCAUAUAGAUAGAUAGAAUAUAACUUCAAGUUUUUUUGGACACUCAAAUCGGAAAUUAAGGCUCUGGUAGUUUUCAAAGAAGCAGGCGCACAGGAAAAGAAAGCAUGUAGAUUUAAUUGUUUAUACAAUUGGGAAAUAUCAUUCGAUUUUCAGUAUUCCUUACAAACUAUUGUGAAAAGACAAUACGUUAGAAAUGUUUACUUUGUUUCAGAAAUUCAUUAUAAACCUCUUUUCAGAUUUUAUUAUUUAUAUUCUAAUUGAAAUUGCUAUGCUCUUUUUUUAACAUCUUGCAUACGUCUUUUGGGAUGGCAGGGGAGUAGGUUUCUUAAAAUACUUUCGAUUCGAACAGCUACCAAACUUUCUACUUGCAUCCCCAAUUUUGUCUUUGGUUUUUUUCUCAAUUCUCCACUACGGAAAGUCAAAGACAAAGCUUUUAUUCUCGGUGGGUUUCCAACCAAUGGAUGAUGAUAGAAAUUCUGCUGCCAUGCUUUACUUUCCAGAACGUGUUUCAAGGUCAAGCACACCUCAUACUACAUCUUCCUCUGGGUUACAAGGUAAUGCUUAUUUUUCAAUGGUAAUGUAACAAGAUUUUGUGUUGUAUGAGUAGGUAUAAGUUUUGAAAUUGAGUAGUAUCUUGUCUUGACUUUCCUUGUCAUUUUGUUUUGUUGCAAUUUUUAAAGCACCUUAAGCUAUUAUUUCAUAGGAAAUCAGAAUCUUAGACAGAGAAAGAAGAUUUUUGUACAGGAUCCUGCUGAGCUUGCAGUAGAGGAUAAACCGUCCAAUGGGUCAGGAUACUUUUCUGCUCUUGUACUUCCAUUUAUCCUACAUUUGGGGUUUAUGGCUGCCACAGCAUUUUUUAUCAUGCAUGUACAGGUUUGUCUCCUCUCCAUAAUUUGUACUUUUUUCAAAAGAAUAUGUACAUGGUGUGUGCUGAAGAAUAUCAUUUGCUUGCUUUCUGUUAUUUCAGCUACGAGUCAGCAUUAUUGUUUGCAUUAUAAAUCUAGUUUCAAUAUAUAUACAUAUAUAUAUAUAUAUACACAUUAGCAGCUGUUGAAGACAACUAUCAAGUAAUUUUUGAGUUUGGAACCCUCUGGUCCUAUGAGGCAAUAGUUCUCAAGUUAUUCCUUAUAAAUACCGAUAAAUAGUCCAUAUGGUAUGAAUUGUGUACGAGAAUUUUAUCAAACCAUUAGACUAUUUGUGAGAUUUUAUUAAAUCAAAUGGAUUAAAUUCCAAUUAUAAAUCAUAGGGACUGAAUUCUAAGUUUCUCCAAACGAUUCGAACCAAAUUUGCAAUUUAACCCUAAAACUAUGGUUCAUGUUGUAUGGACAUUACAUAGUUAAUUUUCUAUAUUUUAGAGAGUAAUAUUCAGCAUAAGCCUCUUCUGUUAGAAGCAUAAGUUAUUCAAACCCUAGCAAAUAGCAAAACAAAUCCAUAAAAACAUUCUAAGUUCCAUGUCUUGUUUUUAAGCUUAGUAUCUCAGAGUUCAGAAUUCAACAGGUUGCAACACGAUUUCUCUCUGCAAGCCCUCCUCUCUAUUGGUUUGCCUCAUACAUUACAGUUAAGCGAUGGAGAUAUAUUAUCUGGGCAUACUCUAUCGCAUAUAUCCUCCUCGGUAGUCUGCUGUUUUCAAAUUUCUACCCAUUCACAUGAUUUGUUGCAGCAAAACAACACUUUAGCUUUGGUAUCGAAUCAUCUUGGUUGCUGAUGAUCGUGCUAUUGCUUCAUAGUCCACACUGUUUUGGAUGAGAAAAAAUGUUUAGAACAAGAGCCACAAAGUUCGUUAUAGUUCAUGUAUUAGGGGAGUUCUUCGAGUAGAAGUUAUUUAAGUAAUUUAAAGAAAUUUUGUUCACCUUGUAUGUAAUAAUUGACUUAAUGAGGGUAAUUGUUGAUUACCAAGUUGUAUAAUUGCUUGUGUUUCAGGUUGCUUUUAGGUACUGUCUUCAAAUACAAAGCUUUCCUAACUAUUCAAAUGUUCCAUUUACAAUUUCUUCUCCUUUGUUUAUAUGUAAAUAUUUGGUUAGUUUUAGCUUUUGAAUUUCACUUUUAAGUUUAUUUUAGUCACAAACUUUUAGAGAAAUGUAUUUUCACUUUUAAAAAGUGAUUAUUUCAAUUCCGUUCUUUUAACAUGAGACUUUAUUUGCGACAGUUCUUAAAAUAAAACCAUAAACUGAUAAUAAAAAUUUUGAACUGUGUCAAAUUUAGGUUAAAAUUUUGUAACUUUGGAUCAAAACAGUCACUUUUUUAAAGACUAAAACAACAAUUUAAACUUUUUUUUUUCUACUUAAGUUUAGUAGGAGAAUGUUGAUUAUUAGUAACUAUAAUCCAAGUCCAACGACAAUGGUUAGAUGUCAUUUUUAAAUACUCGUCAAUCGAAUUGCUGCUUUUGUUUACAGAUUUAGACAAUGGUCUCAUGUGUCAAUACAAACUAAGCAUAAUCAAAUGAAGCUCAAUUUUUAAAUUACAAUUAAUUCAUUCUCAUUGCACUUAGUAAACAUGGUCUAGAUGCCGUCUUACUACUUUAUAGAAAUGAUGAUUAAAAAUGGUUAGUGAUAGUCUGACCAAGUCCAUCUAAAGUUUCAUAACUAAAUUUCAUAAAAUUGAAACCUUGAUGUCGAUUAAAUAACCUAGGCCUAUCAUAAAACGAUCACAAUGAGACAUUUCUUCUAAAAGCAAGUCCCUAUCAACAUUAGAGAUGGAUUAGUUUCAACUUUCAAACACUGUACAAAGAAGUUGAGAUACAAUAAUACAAAGAGAUCAAGAAAUAUCUCAAACAGAGGGACCAGAUCUGAGCACUCUCUCCAGUUUCUCAGCUUUUGUGUAAUCAUUUUCAUUGAGAGGCCCAGCAGGGAAUGGAGUUAUUUCCACAAUAAGAUGUGGGGUUGGAAGCUCAUCAAACAAAGCUCUCACAUUGUUGCAACAAACACUCUCCCCAUGAGCACUUUCCCUCCUGAUUUGACAACCCUACAAAUCACAAACCUCUACAUUGUGAUGUCUUUGAGAAUAAUCAUGCAAUUGAGCAAAAAACGGAACGGUUUGUGUGUGUGAAGAGUGAACAGGAUGGAUAACAAGCAUGAUGUGGAAUGGAAAUGGAGGAAUGAAUAAUUCUAGGAUUGUGAUUAGAUUUAGAACCUUGUGAGAUGUGGCAUCAACGAAGUGAUCGUCGUCGGAAAGGAGGGACAUGAUGGCUUUAAGAAGACGCCGUCCUUCGGAUUUAGAUGGCACUCGAUAGUUCCUUCUGAGGGUUCCCUUUGUGGUAGGAUGCCAUUUGCUCACUAGUUUUCUUUUAUCAACUGCUUCAUCCACUGUCAACAAACACAAGAAAGUAUGAUUCAUUCAUCCACUGCCAAUUCCAGAGGUUGAGGAAAGAAAACACUGAAAGGGAUUAAAACAAAUUCCUUUAACCACACUUUUUAAUUUCAUAUACAAAACUCUAAUUUGCUUGUAUCGUUCCAAAUUCCAAUUUUAUCAGAUGUCUCCAAAGGGGCGAUACAAAACUCUAAUCUAGAUAUAUUAUACAAUUCAACAGAGCUACAUAAGGUGUAAAGAAAAGAAUCAAAGAAUACCAGAUAAUUAGCAUACUAAACUCUAGGAUCAAAUUAAACAAAAUGUUGUAAGCAGAGUUGUUCAAUGUUUAUAAGUAUUCCAUGUUUAUUAGACUAAUAAACAUGGAACAACUCUAGAACAUUCACAAAGAUCACUGAGAAUUAUAGAUGGUCUGCCAAACCUAGCAUUCAAGACUUUCUUUUAUAGGAAACAACUAUAUUACAAAAAGAAAACUCUAUACAAGAGAUCCCCAUCAAAUAGAGUAGCAAAGUGCCUUCCAACCCAGCAUUCAAGAUUCAGCAGAAGAAUGGAUUAACAAAGCCCCAAAGUAUUAGUUCCAACAAUGUUUACAUUCAUAACUUAACUGCUAAAACUUUUUCUAUUAAUCUUUCGUACCCUAUCAAACAAAAAGAAGUCAUUCAAUGUCAACUACAUAGCUAAUGAUUAUUGAAGCUUCAGCCAUAUGAUUUGUAGAAUUUUAGUCCCUUGUUUCAAUUCAAAAUCAAAACAAAAGGCAACGUUGAUCAGUGAAUUCUUCAGUUAAUGUAUCCUUCAGUGUAUUCUAACAAACUAUGCUCAGUUUGGUAAGUUGAUAAAAUUCCUUUACAUAACCCACAAAUCAAGCAGAUUUAAAAGAUCACCAACAAACCUGGCUUUCCUCUUACGCUCUCCAACCAUUUAGAAAACCCCAAAUCACUGCUGCUUUCUCCAUCAGAACUACCACCAUAGGAUAAGUCCAAAUCUGGAAAGAAAGAAGAACCAAAAAAAAAAAAAAAAACACGAACACAAACACAAAAUUUCCCUAUAAAAAUCAAAUCCCAUAAUAAAAAAUAAAAUAAAAAAGGAAAGGAAGAUUGAAAAGGCAAGAAAAUCAGAAAGAAGACGAACCAGAGAUAAGUGGGUUGGAUUGAGAUCCAGCAAGACCAGCUCUUAGAAGGGCAUAGAAGAUGCAAAGUCUACCAGCCCACAAAAUAGGAGCUUCGAUGAGAGAAGCGCGAGUGGAUGAAGGAGAAUUGAAGGUGUUGGAGAGGGAUUUGUUGGAUCUUGUUUUGUGGAAAUGGAGGAAGGUUGUGAGGGCAUUUUUGGGGUGAGAUGGAAAACCAGGGAAAAGGGAUUUGGGGAGAAGAAGAUUAAUGGAAUUGAGAGAGUGAAAAUGGAAGGGGAAAGUGGAGGAUUGGGAAGGGGAAAUGAGAGAGUGAAGCAUUGUUGAGUUGUAGACUGAUGAAAUGCUCUCUAAUCCACGCAGUGGCAGUGCAUAGCGAGGGAGACAAGCUGACUCUUAGCCUUUCUACUCACAAAACGCUACCGUUUAACCCCUUGAAGGGAUUUUUUCUAUUUUUCUUUUUGUAAGUACAAAUGUCUAACCAAGCAAAUUAAGAGCAAAUUCAAGUUAUAUCGUUAAAUAAAAGUAAGCAUUGGAUAGAAUCAUGGUUAUAAAAAUCACAAAUCAAAUCAACCAAAAUUUCAUUCAAGUUUCUAAACUUUUUUAUCAACAGGUUUUCAACAAUUUGAGAAUCAGUUUGAAUCCAAAGAGAGAAAAUAUCGUUUUAAGAGCUCUAAUCAAACAUGUCAAAGGACUUAGCAAGCAAUUCAAUUUUGUUGAGCAGAGAUGUAGACAAAUUGAAAAUAGGAAGGAUGGUGAGUGGGUCCAAAUGGGCCAUUUUAAUGCCUUAUCCAAAUGCAAACAAUGUAUCUAACAAAAGUCUUUAAUUUCCUAAGAAGUUGUAACUUUUGGAACUUACGAAAUUAAUAGCAAGAGUGAUUUUAGCCUGUCAAACUCACUUGUAUUUAAAAUAAUCAUGUUUGACAAUAAAAUAAAAUUAAUUUUUAAAAAAUAAAAAAAAAAUCACUUUAAAUUGAAGUGAUUCUUCUUUAGCAAUGGUAAGGGAAGCAUCUCCGAUAUUAUUAGAAAUAAACUAAUAAAAUUAGAUAUUUAUUUAAAAAAUUGACAACCACUUUCGGCAAACUUUUGAUUUUUUUUUUUUUUUUUUUUGUAACUACGACUGCUUUUCUAUAGCCAUCGAUCAAUGUUUGAUGAUCACAUUUCUUGGAUAUGGGAUGAAAUAUAGGUUGAGACGUAUGUGGAUAUUUUUUAAAAUGUAAAAUGUAGGUUUUGGUUGUUAUCGUUUUGUAAGUUGUCAUUGUUUUGGUUCUAGAGAAAAGUUUAUGAGCAACACUAUUUUUUUUUUUUGUAAGUUAUUAUUGUUUUGGUUAUGUAAAGUAAAAUUAUUUAGUAUGUAAGUUGUUAUGUUUUGGUUGUAGAGAAAAGUAUAUAAGUUUAUUUUUCAAAGUGUGUUUAUUGAAUAUGUUUCUAUUUUUUACUUUUAUUUGUUUUUCAUAUUCAACUUUCAAUGGAGAUCACUUCAUGGCAUGCAAAUAAAAGUUUGUGUACUAUUUAUGUAUUGUUUAUUGAAAUUUUUGUUACUUUAGAUUAAUUUACUAUUUUUGGUAUGUUAAUUUUGUAAGAAACAAUUGUAACUUUUAUUGAAAUAUUAAAUAAAUUCUAGUAUUUUCUAUUUCUACCGUUUGAAUUGUGUUUAGGUACAAACCAAAAGUAUGGUGGAAAAACAAUACAAACAUAAAAUAUAUAAUUUUUUUAAAAAUAUAGGCUUCUACCCACAACACACUAUUUUAUAGCGUCGACAUUUCGUGGAUUUGUCGACAAAAUCUAUAAUUGUCGGCGUAAUAGAGCUACAUCGUCGACAAUACAAGGAUAUGUCGAUGACAUUCUUACAUCAUCGACAUAAUAAAUGCCCACGAAAUAUUUUCACCGUUGGUGAAUAGCCCUUUCACCGAUGGUUAACUUCUAAUGUGGGCAUAGUUUCGUAGAUUCAAUUCUGUCGGCAUGCAAUUUCAGUAUUCACCAACGAUCACUUUUUCGACAUCAACGAAGGCUCUUUCAACGAACCUACACCAACGGUUUGUGUCAACAGCUUAAUAUCGUCAACAAAAGAAAAGUCGACGCAUUUUUGAAGAUAUGUCAACGAUUUAUGUCAUCGGCAAAAUGUCAAAUUCUUGUAGGAAUUAAAUUUUUGUAUUUAAAAAAGUGAUAUAUAGAGUUGGUGUGAAUGAUUAUUUAUUAUUUAUUACUAUGAAAAGAUAUUUUUUUCGAGAGAGAAAAUUGUCAAUAUAAUAAUUAGAUUAAGAAAGUGAUUAAUGAAGCAACAUUUAAAAAAAAAAAUCAAAUAUUAUCAAAUUUGUGAUAGCUAUCAAUGAUGAGAUAAAAAUCUAUAAUUAAUAUAUUAUCUUAUAAAUAUUAAUUUAUCAUUGAUAGACCAUGAAAGUUUAUGACAGACUUUAUUAUAUUUACAAUUUAAAAUAAAAAGUUAGUUUUAGACAUUAAUAUUUCUUAAAUUGCAUUUACACAUUUAUAACUUUAUUAAAAAGAUGGCAUUUGGAAAGAAAGUGUCUGGGCUUUAUGGAUAUGAUCAUUGGGCUUACCUAUACAAUGCAUAAAUAUCUUCUCUUUCUCCUUUCUAGGCUACCUUAUAUAUAUUUUACUUUUAACUUUUUCCAUUUCCUACUUAAUCCAUAAUGAUUCGACUUAACAGAAAACAUAUCGUAAUAGGUCAAGAGUAAUUAGACAAGAAAAAUAAAUUGACUUAAAAAUAAUUAUUACCUAUACCUUUUUAUUUUUGUCUAAUUGGGAUUACCAUGGUUAGACUAAACAUUAUCAAAUUAGAACAAUUGUUUAAAAGAAAUUGUGGUUUAUUAAUUUAGUAGUCUACAACCCUUCUUUUAAGGGUCCAAAGUUUGCAAAUUUUACAUUGUUUUUCAGCAAAAUAAUACUGCAUGCAAACACCAAAAUGCUCCAUUUCAACAAAGGAAUGAUCCUUCCUAAUAGAUCUAGAAUCUCAACCAUAACAUAUUUGAAAAUAAUCGUCAACAGGUUAUUUGGUCAUUAAGUAAAAUAAAUUAAUAAGUUGGAGUUCAAAAGUUAUUUCACAUUUGAAACAUAGAGCUGUAAGAUUGAGUUUUACUCUAGUUGUGAAAAGUAAAAAGAUGAAGACAACGAUAGAAGAUAAUGUAAAUAAAUUAAAAAAAGAAAAAACGAAUUUGUUCGAAAAACGUAAAAAAUAGAGAAAUAAAAGAAAAGAAGUUAGUACUUUAAAGUUUAGUUAUCUAACACGAAGCUAAUACAAUUGGUUGCUCGAACAACCCUAAACUCAUUAAUUAAAAGUAUAGUUGUUGGUGUCUAUAACUUUGGCAUUUCAAUUCCUCUAACAACUCUAUCUACAGAACACCCCUAAUUUAUCAACUCUCUUAAUCGUUCUAGGCGUAUUUUUCUUUUCAUCAUUUACCUUCCUAAAAUAUGUACAUAUCUACAUUUCACUAAAUUAGCAAUCACCUUAAAUAUAUCUAAAGAAAUUGUAUUUGUGUUUUAAAUUAGAGCGCUUUGUUGUAUAUAAAAGGUUUUCAAUUAUAUACCAAAAUGAACUAACUUAUUUAUAAAUAUAGCAAAAUUUUAAUUUUUAUAUGUGAUAAACCACGACAGACUCAUAUAGAUAUCUAUUUACCUUAGUGACAGACAUUUGCAAAUGUCUAUUUUGAUCUAUCAUGUAGUCUAAGAAAAUUUAACCAAGAGAAAAAAAUAAUUGAAAUUACCUUUUCCUUUCUAAAAAGAAAAAUGUUUAAACGAGAAACUAUGAAAAACUAUGCACAUUAAUCAACCAUAUGAAAUGGCAAAAGGGUUAAAAGAUCGUGAGUUAAAUUUUUUAUUAUCAUUUACCUAAGAUUUAGUAUCUACGAACGCUUUUUACAUAUCUAAAUAUCAUAAUGUCAAAUUAAGUUUAUUGUCGUGUAUGAUUAGUCGAAUUACAGGCACUAUAUAAAAUAUAUAUACACACACGAAUGAAUGUUGAUUGAACUUACUGUUAGGAAUUUUAAUAUUAAAAAAAUUAUGAUGAAGUUAAUUAAAAUUAAAACUUAAAUAAUUUUUUCAAACUCUCUAUUAUUAGGGUUUUGAAAAAUCAAGAAUAUGUGUCAUUUUUGUAGCAUGAGAAAUAUAUAUAUUAUAUAUAUGCUCCACUAAAUCUGAAAAGGGCUGGAAGAGGGCUCUCAUCAUGAGUUAUAAAUAAUUAAUGAAAAAAAUAUUGUCCCAAUUUUGAUUCUACUUUUUAUUUUUUAUUAAAAAAAAUACAAUAACCAAAAUCACAAAUAAACAAAGAAAUAAAAAAGUCAUAAGUGGUUGUUUAAUAAUUAGGUUUAAUUAUUGGUUACAAAUUAUAGAGGAGAAAAUGGUCCUCCCUAUGUAAAGAAAUUUUUGUAACAGAGUAGCCUUUUCCCUAUUCAAAAUUUAAAACCAACCUCUUUUAUUGUGAUUUUCAAAUUAUAUGAUGAUAAUUUUAGUGAAUCUAUCAAAUUUUACUUAUUUAACUUCUUUUUAUAAUUUUAUAUAUAACCUUCUCAUAACGACAACAACCGUAAAUUUAUAAUUUGAAUAAGAGAGAAUUUUAUAAAACAAAAAAAAAAAAAAACGACUUUAAUAUUGAAUUCAAAGAAUAAAUAUAUUUUGAAUGGAUUUGAUUUAGGUUUAUCUUAAUUGGACAUGGUGUUUUUUUCUUUCAAUUGAUAUGUUAUUUUAUUUUUUAUUUUUUAUGUAAAAUUCUCCCUAGUUCUAAAAUUAAAAUAAGUAAGUAAUUGUGUAGAUGAUAUGAGAUGCAUUUCUACCACUAAUUUCAUAUAUAUUAUUUAACCUAAGUAAAUAGGUUUUUAAUUCUUAAUUGUAGCCUUUAUAGGGUUGAGGGGUCCAAAUUGUGUCAUCAACUAAAGAGUGAGGAUUUUGUUAUCGAGAAAAGAAAUGGUAAUAGAGAAGAAGAGAAAAAAAAAUCCAAAGGCUAACCUUAGGGAGGGGAUAGGAAGGAAGAGAGAAGCUGUGUGAUGAUUGAUAGAAGAUAAAAGAAUAAAUAUAUAGUUGGUCAAGCAAAGUUAUGGAGAAAAAAGGAAUCUAUUAUAAUAGGUGGUGGAUAUGAUUCGAGUCAAAAGACGUUUUAGUUGCUAGCUAGCUGACUACCAAAGGUAUAUGUUGGUUAACCUAUGUUUGCUAUAGAAGUGUUUUGUAUAAUAUGUGCUAUAAAUUGUUUUUUUAUAUGUCAUUUGAAUUUAUCCAUGAAAAUCUUGUUUUACUUAAAAGCAUGACUUAAUAUUCGAAUCAACGUAAGCAUGACUUAAUAUUCGAAUCAACGUUAAAUAUGAAUUUGGUCUCAAAUACUACUGGAAUAAUCAAUGACUCUAAUUCUCAUAGUAAGAUUUCUCACCAAAUUAUCAUUUUAAUAUAUAUAUUAUUCUUUUUAUAUAUAUAUUAUUUCUCUAUUUUUAUUAUUCAAAUUAAACUACAGUAUAUGUAUAAAUGAAAGGAACUAAAUUUUUUUAAAAAAAGUUGUAAAAGUGAGUGUGAAAUAUGGAAGCUAAAUCUAUAGGUGUAAAUUGAAACAUUAGAACUAAAAAUAUAUUUUGGAAAAAGUAAUAAUUAGACUUCAAAAGAUGAGCAAUUUUAAGGGUGUAAGAAUAUGGGUUGAAUCUGAUAACUCGAACUACCCGAACUAUUCAACCCAUAUUGUAUGGAUUGAGUUGAUUGGGUUAAAAAAACUUGAUUUUUUCGAGUUGGGUUGGAUCUUAGGUUGAAGGAUUGAAAAAUUCGGUUCAACCCAAUCCAACCCAAAUUAAUAAUAUAUAUAUCUAUAUAGUAUUUAUUUAAAAGGUCUUCCUCUUCUCCUUCACGCACGACAUUCCUAUUUUCGUUUGUAACCUUGAAUGUACAAAUAUAUAUAUAUAUAUUUAAUAAAAUAAAACUUAAAAAUAUAGGUCUUCCUCUUCUCCUUCACCUUCAAGCACGGCAUUCCUAUUUAUGUUUUUAACUAUGAAUGUUUGGAUUUAUGUAUGUUUAAGAACUUUGAAUUUAUUUAUGUUUGUAUAACGACUUUGAAUUUAUGAAUGCUUCAAACUUUGAGUUUAUAUAUCUAUAAAAUUUUGAAUUAUGUAUGUUUGAACUUUGAAUAUAUAUCAAUUUUGAACUUUUUUUUUUUUAGGAACUAUUUUGAAUUUUACAACCCUUGGAAAGUGUAGGGAAAAAAAAUGCAAUCCGACAACAAAACUCAUAUUUUAUGGGUUGGGUUGGGUUGGAUUGAGUUGGAAACUAAAUAACCCAAAAAUAUUGGUUGGGUUGAGAAUGUCUUCCAACCCAACUCGAUUACACCCCUAAGCAAUUUAUAUGUGUGUAAAUCGAUAAAAAUAAAAAAAUAAAAAAAAAAUUAGGUUCAAAACAUAUAAGCAAUUUUUAAAAAACACUUUAAGAGAUUAAAGAAAAAAAGAUAGAUUGAACAAGGAAGAUUUACUCUUUUUGUUUAUUUUGUAGAAUUUUUUUGAAAAAGCAACAACAAAUAAAAAAAUAUAUCAUUUUUCAUCAUUUUUACAAUUUCAUUUAUACGUGUGAAUCUUAUGAAGGUUGUGAGUUAGAAAAUCAAAUAUUUGUGUUAUAAAGACUUGCACUACGGUGAUGUAUUCAUGUUCUCCAUACUUCGACAAUUAAAUCACGAAUGUAGUGUUCAGUAAAAACGUGAUUAAUUAAGUUUUAGUACCUUUAUCAUAUGAUAGAGCUUAACUAUUUACGACCGCUCGUUUUUCAUGCAUUUAAACUUGUUCAUUAACGCAUGACAAUGUGUCAUCGAAAAAUAUGUCAAGGUAAUCAAUGGCAGCUAGAACAGUAAACCCAAGCUCAAGGAUUUCUAAUUUGAAAGUCUCACUGUUUCUUUUAGGUCUAGACCUUGCUUGAAAUUUGACCCUAACAACAUAAUUAUUAUUAUAUAAAAAGAUGUCCCAACCAAAUAUGUAGUAAGUAAGAAGUUGGAAUCGAGUAGUAGUAAUUAAUUUGGAGUAUAAAAGCUUUUUUAUUUCAAAAGAGAAAAAACAAAAGGAAAUAAAAAAAAAAAUAGAAAGAAUAGUAACUAGAAGAAGAAUGAUAGAAUGCAUAUGAAUGAUUGAAAAGAAAAUUUUGAAGGAAAAGUUUAAUAACAAGAAAAAAUGAUAAGAAGCACUUGGAAAGUACAAAUUGAGUUAUGAAAGUAAUUUGGUGUGUUUGUACUAAUAAAUUAACUAAUAUGCUCACAUGUGUAGCACUUUUGAUAUCAUUGGAAACAAAUGGUUAGUGGCCAAAAGAGGGAAAUAAGAAUCAAAAGGGGACCAACUAUGCCCUUUAAUUUUUUAUUUUUUAUUUUUUUUUGACAAAACUACAAAAAUCAUCGAAAACUAUAGCGGUGGUUGCAAUUAUAACCACAAACUUUCAAAAUUAAAAAUUAAGCUUUCAAACUCAUUCAGAAUUUAAAUUUUGACUUUCAAACUUACAUGAUUGUAUAAAUUAUUAUAUUGAUUUUAAGGUAUGAGAAUUAAACUUUUACGAUUACGGUAAGUUCACAAGGGUUCAUUUAUUACUUUUGAAAGUUUAAGGAUCUAAUUGCAAUAAUUAUCAUAUUUUAGAAGUGGUUUUUGUAAUUUGCCCUUUUUUUCAACAAGUGUGUCCUUUAAUUUAUCGCAAACAAGAGAAGAGAUCUAAUGUGUGUUUGAUCAAGUCAUACCAAAUGAUUGGAUUUUGAUAUCAAAUUUUGUGAUGAUAUAUCAAUGCUCAUUAUAAGGGUUGAUCAUGUAAAAAUAUGGCAUUCUUUUUUUUUUUCUAACAUGGUUUUAGUACUUUGUUUAAGAAAAGUCUUUUAAGGAUGCAAGAUAGAUUUCAAAAUUUCUAAAAGAAAAUUAAAAAUUAUUUACAAAAUUAGUGCAAAUUAUUGCAAAAAAAAAAAAAAAAAACUUUGAUUACAUCAUGUAUCGAUAAGAUAAAUAAAAUCAUGUGUUCAAACUUUGAUAAUGUUAUUAUGUAUUUAAUGUCAUCACAAUAUAAUCUUCAAUUAAUAUUAAUUUUUACUCAUUCAAAUUUACAACCAAAUUAAAAGAUUAUAAGUAAAGAAAGGGUGAAGUAUUCGUAAAAUUAAGUUUAUUUUAAUUUAUAAAUAUCAAUUUGAACUUUUGCCUUGAUAGAUGCUUUAACUAUCAUUACUUUUAAUCUAUGAAUUGAGACUUUUGAUCCCUCGUUUCAUACUGUUAUUAUACUAAAAAACUAUGAAACUAUUGAAAAUUUCAUAUUCUAUUUACGUUAAAAUCAUUAAUAUUAAUUGAUAGAAUAAAAUUUUGAUAUGUUUUAUAAAUAUUUUACGUUUAAUGUGUUAUAAAUUUGAAGAUUGCUUGAAUCAAUACUAAUAUAAAAAGAAAAUCUUUGGGAUAUAUACAUACAACUAAGUAACAUGCAAAAUCCAUAUAAAUUAACCUUCGUACCUAUAGCUUAUACAAAUUAUCUAUUUGUCUUCACUAAUAUAAUUUGAUUAAAAUAUUAUUUUAGUCUUUUUCUUUUUUAAUUUAUUCACUUUUAGUUCAUAUAUACUUAAUACAUCUUAAGUAUAGUAUCUUGCUAAUUUAUUGUUGAUUAAAGAUUGUAAUCUAUUAGUAUUUUCACAAUAAAUUUUAAAAAUAUAUUCAUCUUGUAUAGUUAGUAUGUUUAUUAUUUAUGGGUGAUUUUUUAUAAUUAGUAAAAAAAAUAAGAAUAAAAGCAAGAAGACCAAUAAAUCAAAAAAUAACAAAAUUUUAGACUGAAAGUACUAGCCUAAGCAUAAACGGGCUUAAAGAAGAUAAGUUCGUGCCAAAGCACAAACUUAUGUGUUUAGCUUCGGCCAAGGUCAAGGACAGUUUUAGCAAAAUAGUUAAUAGGACAUAUCCUACAUAUGCUCGGGCAAAAAAGGCAUUGUCCUAAGAUCAAAAUAAGGGCAUGGCUGUAAAAUUAUAGGAGAAUAACCUAGUUUUAAGUUUCUCUAUAAAUUACGUACACAUUGCUAUAAAUUCACGUGUUAACUUGAAUCUUACUCUCAAACUCUCUAGUUUCCACUCUUACUUGAAAAUUAUAUUAGAGUGUGUAUGGUCGUAAAGCACCACAUCAGAAUGCAAGUCUUCUCUCCUUCAAACAAAUCUAUUGUCAGUGUCACACGUGAAUGUCAAGUACGUUUUUCGAAUUUAAAUUUUGACAUCAAAAUUAUUUAACCAAUUUUAGUCAAAUAUAACUUUCAAAUACUAAACUCAAGUUUUGUUAAAAUUAGUAUAGAUAUUAGAACUGAAUAAAUUUGGAAGUAUAAACACUAAAAUGAUAUAUUAACGGAUAAACUAUUUAUAAUGAUUACAUAAGUUAGGAAGUUGUAGUUGUAUAUUAUUUGAUCAUUACAUUGGAGAGGAUGAACUUCAAUGAAAAUUAAUUAUAAUAUGAUUAGAACAAGCUUUUAGAUAAAGUUAUUAAUUGAUUUAAUUAAUUUUGAGCUGACAAAUGGCCGAAAGAAACGUUGGAUCCCACAGAGAGUUAUGAUUUUGAGUUAAAUAUUAGGUUUCCAUUAUGGUAAUACUUAAUAUUAUUUUCAUAUGCAUGAGAGAGACUUUAAUUUUCUUUUUUAAAAUAGAAAAAAGAACAAUAUAACAACUAACUUUUUGGGCAAUUAAGGUUUAAAUGGUUACCAUGUGCAUGGAAAUUAAAUAGUAAAAUAAAGGUUACAUACAUUACUAUUAUUUUCUCAUUAAUCAAAUAAUAAUUUGGCUAACUGGUUUGAAUAUUCCAUCGUUUUAGAAUCUUAUCAUUAUCAUUUCAAUGCUAAAAUGAGUUUAGCUCAAUCAUGAUUGAUAUCAACUUUUCGUCCGAGUCUAGUUGUGGAGUUGAGGGUUCUAUAAUCUGAUUUGCAUAUUGCAGAUUAAGUGGAAUCUACUAGCUUUUUCUAUAUACUUUUGAAUGAUAUUCCAAUUUUUCUUUUGUGUAUACCAAUAUAGUUAUCGUACUAUUAUAGAUAUUGUUUAUCAUUACAACCAAAAUGAGUCUUAAUGUUAAUUUAAAGAUGCUAUUAUAGAGGUACGAUGUCAGUUGUCAAAGUAGGAGAACUAUAAAUAUGUUAAAGUAUUAUUGUCAUUAUAGAUAUCGAUUAUCGAUUGACUCUAAAUGGUAACGGUAACACUAAUGAUAAAAACAUAAUGAUAUUAGAGUAAACAUCUCUUCCAAUAAUAAUUAAAUUACAUUUUUCGAAGGUAUAAGUAAAUGUAAUCAAAAGUAAUCCAAUUGUAUUUUACAAUCGAUAUACAUCAACAAAAAUCCACUAUGUGAUUACCCAUUCCUUAUUACGAUUAGUAAACAUAGCCUAUAAUCAAUAUUGCAAGUUAUUGUAAAAUUAUUUGAUGAAUUUCAUUUUAUUUAUUUUAAUUGCGUGAAGGAUCCAUUUGACUAUUUAAAAUUUAAACCUCCAAACGUUAUUUUAAAAAAAAUAAUGAUAAAGAUCAAUUUCAUUUUAAAAUUUCAAUCAAUCAAACUUGAAUCAAGUUCAACUAAUUUAAAUAUAUCUUCGAUCAAAACAUUAAAGAUUUGAAUUAUCACGUUAGAUAAACUAUAUAGUAAGUAGAUUUUAAUUUUAAUAAUUACAUAAAGUUUUGGAUUAAACUUUGGUAUGAUGAGGAAAAAGUAGAUUAGAACGUGCAAAGAGUUGCAAUCAAUUUAUUUAUACAUAAAGCAUUAAGAGUGAGUGUGUACAUAAACUUAUCUUUAGUUGCCCUUUAAUUACUAUUAAUUUUGUUAAUUUUGCUUUGGAAAAAAGGGGAAGGGUCGAGAAAAGGGGAAGACCCUUCCUCUUCAUCCCUAUCGUUUUUUUACGAGUGAUAGAAUCUAAAAGUUUAUUAUAUAUAUAUUUAGUAAAUAUUUUGUUUAUUGAAUAUAUCUGAAAAUAUCUGCUAACCAAUUAAGAGAUAUAUGAACUAAUUGACAAAAUUAUUUAAUCUCCGAAAUUUUAUUAGCUAGUAACUUAAUUUUUAAUUUUGUUGUAAAUUAUAAUCCAAUCUCUAUCAUUAAAAUUACCAAAAAUAAAGUGUUAAUAUUUAAUAUUUAAUAAAUUAGUCUAUAAAAACUUAGAAUAUAUAUACUUUGGUCUAAUUUGGUUUGCCUUAAAAAGAAAUUCAUAUUGCUUUCUUCUUGUGGGUUUGGUUUUAAGCAAUUUAUUGCUUUACAUAAUGAUAACCUCAAAUUACUACUUAACAAAAAUAUUUAUGACAUCAAUCCUAAAUUAUUAACAAUUUUAAAUUACAAAAAUGAAAGAUUAUUACCUAAUCGAGCAAUUAAUUAAAUCGUUACCAACUUUGGAUGGACUAAAUAAUUACUUCAAUUAAACAAUUACCAUCCUUUUUAUUUUUUAAAAAAAAUCUUGUUCUUUGAUCUUCUUAUCUUUAAAUAAGGAUUAACAAAAUUACAUGAACAUAGAUCACAAAAUCUCUCAUUUUCUUGGUGGUUAGAUUACCUAUAGAUUGUACUCAAUGAUAAAUUUUUACAAUUACUUGUAAAUUCAUUUUACUAAAUUACAAGUCAAGUCUUCCAAAAAAAAAAUUUAUAGAUGCAUCACUAACAAACAUUCUUCAUAUUUAACAUAAGAAUUUAAAAAAAAAAAAAAAAAAGAUGGGUUUGAGUUUUUUUUUUUUUUUUUUUUUUGUAAUAUAAAGUUCAUCCAUAAUAAUAAAAAAAUUUGUCUUAUUACAUAUAUAUUGAAAAAGAAAUAGUAAGAAGAGAAAUACAAUGUACAUAAUUAAUAGUUACUUAUUUAUAACUUUUACAAACCCUUGAAAUUACUUAAAUAUGUUAAUCUUACUGAAUAAAACUUUAAGAAAAAAAGAAAAACUUCUACAUACUUCACUAUUGUACCUGAAAUUUCACAAAAUAAUACACAUUGGGUUUGAGUAGUUUUUCUUAAAUAUGAAGUUCUUCCAUUAGAAAUUUACAAUGGUAAUUAACCAUAACAUGAUGAUAAUUAUGAUAAUUGGAACCUUUUCAAAUAUACAAUAUAUGACCCCAAAAAAAGAAGCCAAAAAAGGUCAGAAAUGCACUGACAAUGGCAUCCUACAAGUUAAGACAUAUAUAGAUAGAAACAAAGUUAUACUCAUAAUGCAUCCCUUUGUAAUUUUAUAUAUAUAUAUAUAUAUGUAUAUAUUGUUAUUAUUUUAGAAUGUCUCAAUUUUAGUCCAUGUUUUUUCAAAAAAAAAAUCUUAAAUUUAAUGGUUGUUAGCUUGUUUAUUGUUUAACUUUUCAAAUCAUUUUUUCCUUUGUUAUUUAUUAAUACUUUUUACUAUAAGUUUUGGAAAUAUUGAAGUUCUUUACACGGAAAAAUAUUAUUUCUUUACCCUAAUUUGAUAAAAAUAUUAACUUCGACAGAGAUUAAAUUUAAGAUUUUUUUGAAGCACUUUGCAAAAUGGUAUUUUAAACUGAAAAGAAAAAAAAAGUAAUUUACUUGAGAACUUACAAAUGAAUUAAGGGAAAAUUCAAUUAGUAAGAAAGAAGAAAUAAAGUAGAAGCAACAAAAUGGCAACACUCCAAGGAAACAGAAGCAAAAGCAGAAGAAACCCAACUCCCCAUGGGAAUCCCACAGCUGAAUGGUUGUUGUUAUAUCCUCCGUCGCGGCCGAGAGAUAGCCAGUGAACGGCAACAACCAAAAGCAACGGCGAAACAACGACGAGCCUCUGAAAUACCUCUGAUGCCGAGGCAACGGCGGCAUCGUACACGGCAUAAGCCAAGAAUCCAAAGAUUAUAAGAGCAAUGGUUGCAAGAAGCCAUUGGUCUGAAAAGCUCAAGCUUGAAGAGUUUCUACAAGUAGCCAUAAGAAUAGAGAGAGGGGGAGAAAAAAAGUGAAAAGGGUGUUGUUGUUUUGGUGUUUGUGUUUAGGAGUGGGAAAUGAUUUGUAGUUAAAAAGAAGUGAAAUGUGAAGAAAUACAAAAAUGGGGUUUUCUAGUUUUGGCUUUAUAUUGUGGUCUUUACUCAUACUAUUGGGUUUAGAAGAUAAAUAAUUGACUGUCCCAUUGCUGCCACAAUCAUACAAACCCUUAAAAUUACAUACAACACCCUCAACAACUCUAGUGUCUGCCUUUCAAUUAUGUUUUUUAACUUUUAAAAAGUAUCUUUGUAGAGUUUUUAAUUUUUUUUAUUAAAAUAUGAUGAAAGGUGACGUGUUGGUUAACGAGAAAAGAAAUUAAAAGGCAUGUGUGAUAUUGUUUUCAAUAAUGCCAUUUAUGUAAAUCGAUAAAAACCGAUGAUGUGAAAAUUUUUAUUGUUAAAAUGCCUUGAAUCUAAUAUUAGGUGCUCCGAAUUACUAAGUAUUGAGCCUUUGAUGGUUUGUAUUAAUAUAUAAUAUUAUAAAUUAUUCUCUUUAAUAAUAAUUUGUUUUUCAUUUGUCCAUGGUUAGUAAUUGUAGCUAACAAGCUGUUAGUUCCACGACUCGAGUUUAAGAGGGAGAUUACAUGUGAAAAGAGGAAUUAUGAAGACAUGAGAUAUUGGUAAAAAACACUUUAAAAGAAUUGAAAAUUACUAUAUAUACCAACAAGAGCGGUGUAUCUUCAUUUUCAUUAAUUCAAUCAUAAGAACUUUAAAGUUAAGUAUGCUAAAUUUACCUAGAUGCAUUUAAGUGAGAACAAAGCAUGUUGAAAGAAUUCAUGUUUGAAUAACUUUCACUUUUAGAAGUAUUCGAAACAAGCAAGAAUGAAGUUGUUAAGUCACAGAUGGGAGUGUCGAGGUCAUCAAGUGUCAAAUCCUAUACUUACAGUGUUAUAGUUAGUAAAUCAGAACCACAUAAGUCUAUAUGUUGAUUCUAUGUUGUUUAUACCAUAUUGCUAAUCGAUUUUAGUUAUAUGAACAAUUUUCGUUGUCAAAUCAAUUUAUAUCCUUUUAAUAAAAGAAAAAAUUGGAAUGAAUUGCAAGGUUGAUUGGUAUCUUUAGAAUAGAAAGUUGAUGAGUAAAAAAUAAAAAUCUUCAAAGUUUGAGGAGAUGAUUGAAAGUUUAGGGAUGUUUUAGUGUAAUUGAAGCUCACAAAAACAAGAAAUAUGAGAGCAAAUAAUUGCACCAACUGUCUAAAUAGUCCCCAAAAUGGAUCCAAACUUACACACCCUUUGCUUAUAAACCUAUAGAGAGAAAUAGCUUUGAAGUUAAGAACCACAAGGACACUUUAUUAAAAUGCUUUACUCUUCUCGCAUUUCUAUUUGCUUACUUCAAAGGAAAUGAAAAUACCAAAUUAAGAAAUCAAUAUGAAAACAAUUUGAAAUAUAACUCAUCAUCUCAAAUAUAUAUAUAAUAAAAAUUAAAAACACAAUGAGAUUUAUGUUGUUUUUUUUAGAAUUCGUACUAGCCAACCAAUAUAGACAUGACUCAAUUAACAUAAUGUAUAAACAUUCAAUCAAUUUUGAAUUCCCUACAUAUGAUGAUGGAAAAAAUGAAAAGGAAAACGUUGAAUAACAAAUACGUAGAUCUCAACGUAUUAAACAAUUAUUGUUGUUUUUAAAUAUGUGUGAUUAGGUUACACCUAUCCAAAAUCAAGGUGAUGCAUUUAAAGUCUCAAUUAAAACUUGUUAAAAGCAAAUAACAAAAAUCCAGACUUACUUUGUAUAAUUUAGCUUUUAAUUUAGACUAUUCUCUAAGAUCUCGAUGAUUUCCUUAAUGAACGUAAUAAAUACAAAAAUUAAUCUACUUCCCAUGCUUAAAAGAAGAGUUAACUCAAUGUGUAAUAAUUUUCUAUGAAGUUCAUACAAGUGUGUGUUUGAGGUGUAUAAUCAAGUUGAUUGAGGUCAAAAGUAUCUAGCACCAUUUUUGUAAUCUAAAAGACUUUGAUAUUUUUGUUGGCUAUUUUUGUUUGUUGAACUUUUCUUGGACAUUCAACUAAGAUACCAAUUUACAAACUUUACACAUACUUGACAAUUAUGUGCAUGCAACUUUUGUAAUUGAGCUACGCAAAAUACUUGGUCACCUUUCAUUACAACAACAAAACUGCAAUGUUAGGUACUUUACAUUCAAUUAGGCCUUCAUAUGUUAGAAUUAAGAAAUUCUUAUUCAAAGAAACAUCUCUUUUUAAAUAGAAAAACAAAUAACCUUAAAUACCUUAGCAACUUAGAUCAAAGUACAUGAAGAUAAGGAGAUAUUUCUUGCUUUCGUUCUUUACAAAGCUUAGCAUCUAACCUAACUCUCUAGAUCAGUAGCACAUGUCUAAAUGCCAACAAAAACUUAACUAAACUAACACGUGAGUGUACUUAAGAACCAAAAAGUUUCAUGCUCAAAUCUCUCCAACUAUAAUUUGCACUACAAGAAAUAGCAUAUGUCUAAAUUAAUUAAGUAAAAAUUUCAAAUUUUGUAUUUAAAAAUAUUUUCACCAACCAAGUUUUUUUUGUUUCAAGAAUAGAGUCAACUAAGUUAGUCAUUGGGAAUGAUCAACUAAGUCAAGUUAGUCAUUGGAUCAACUAAGUCAAGUUAGUCAUUGUGAAUGAUCAAUUAAAAUAGUGAUUAGAAUUCACCAAAAAAGUGGUACUCAUUAGAGCUGGUCGCUAGAUGUGACUCUUGCCAGAAGUGGUACUCAUAGAAUGUGAUCGUUAGUGUUUGUCAACAAUGGUUGUUUCCAAACUUAGUCAUCAACAAUGACUGAUGUGUAGAAUCAUUGCAAACAUUGGAGGUGAGGAGAUUUAGGUCGAUUUAGUAAUUUCAUCAACAACGGUGCCUCCUAGAUUUAGUUGGGUUGAGUUGAUAAAAACUAACCACCCAACUUAGUGAACAGAACAGCCAAGCAUUCUUAAGAUACUAGUAAAGAAAAUGGCAAAUUUUCAACUCGUUGGAUUAAAAGAUCAUACACAAUUCUUUGUCAAAAACCUUUUUAGUUCAAUUAUAAAUAAAGAAAAUUAAACUUCUAACCACUGGUUAGUUGAACAUAUACCUAAACUAGUUAAAGAAUGUGACCCGAUUGACUUGUAACUUAUUUUGCUUCAAAAUUCAAACCAUUGAAUCAAAAUUGGGUAUAUUUCUAGAGAACCUUAAGACAACUUGUAUAUAUAGCCAGAACAAUAUUGGGAAAUAAGAGUGUACCAAAAUGUUAAAGUAGAAAAACAACAUAAAAAAUAGAAACUAUCUGACUUUUUGCCAAACUGUGUUCAUUUUACAUGGUUCACAUCUUAAUAUCAAAAACUGCAUUAGAAAAAAAAAUUACAACGAUCUCAAGAACUUAAUAAAAUAAUAACAAGAGAUUCUAAUUACUGGAUGAGCAUAUAUCAUUACUAAAAUCAAAAAUCACAAUCGAUUCAAUGCGGAAAUCUAAUUCAAGUUACAGAAUAGGCACUGAAUAUGACAGAUUAGUGUAGUAUAAUAAAUGUCACAUAGCCAUGUAAUUGGUUGUGAUAUAAAUAUCAAGGCUAUCUCUUCGUUGUACAUUUCAACGAUACAACAAUGAGAUAGAGCGAAUAAUCCAACAUGUUAAGUCAGCAUACAAAAUAAUUUUAUAUAAGAUCUUUUGAAAGAAUUGCCUCUUCAAGCAACUUCUUCAGAUGAUUUAGAAGAACGUCGUUUGAGAAUGUUGGGAAAUCUUUUGGGUAGACUACAUACAGGCGUGUCUCCCGCUAAACCUUGAAACGCCAUGCCUAAGGAAUAUCCUAAAGCUCGAGCAACCGGUACCGCAACUGCAUUUCCUACUUGUAUGUACCUGUUACAUGACCAGUUCUUAUAUUGUUCGUGUUUUGGAAUAGGUACUUUGAUCACUAAUCUUCAAAAGAACAUAGUAUAUUAUUCUGGGGAUUCACUCACUAGAACAAGAAAAAUGACUAUGUUCAAUGGUGGUCAGUCAAAAAAUUGUUUUCUAAGGGACACGAAGCAAGUUUUUCUAAAACAAGAAACAGAUUAUUGAUAAAUGAAAACAUAUAAAACAAGAUGGAUAAAAUGCAAAUAAAAUACGCAGAAAAGGGGGAAAAUAAAACAAACAGGCUCGCCGAAAGGGCAUACUAACCAAAAACUCCAAAACAGCAGACUAGUCCACAAAGCAAGUUAUUGCAAAGGUCAACCAAAAGCCUCAAGAAAUAUUUGCUUUAAUUGAAUUGGUAAAGCAAUAUAUAUUAUGUUUCAGAUGGUGGAAUUAAGUCCUUCCUUAAAUGCAAAGUUUCUAAAACAUACCUUUCUUUCACAGGCCCAAAGAGCUUAUAAUAAUCUGGAAAGCCUUGAAGUCUUGCAUUUUCUCGAAUCGUCAUUACUCUAUCUUGCUCUGGAUGUGUAAUUGCCUGUACGUAUCAGUGGACAACACAGAAAUGAGUUGGUUGAAGGCUGGUUUAUACUGGAAAAUUAAGUAAUUUCUCCUACGCAAAAGAUAUAAAAAGGCAUACAAGUAGAGUUAUAACCUGGUUGUGAGGCUCUGCCCGAGUAACAACUGUAGGCACUGUCUCGUCCCACCAUAAACGAGCAAAUGGCCUUUUUAUCAUUUCGUAAAAAUGGGAAAUAUAAGUAAGGAACAGGGAAGUAAAAUGUAUAAAAAGGAGAACGAAUCAAAAUCAAUGCUUACUUUGAUGAUGAUCCAUUCACAAAACUCAUGGCAUAAUCAGGAACCUGCAAUUGCAGUGGCGUAAGAUAUAAUAGGACUAGGAAUGGAAAGAAACCAAAAAUGCUCCCAGGAACUUUUAAGCCAAAGUUCAUACUGAAAUGGAUACAAAUGAAGUAAAUAGAGAUCCAUGCAAUGAUGAAAAUUGCAAUGGUCGUAUCUCAAGUGUUGGAUGUCAAUUGAUAUUUCAGAAAAAAUAACAAUAGACCACCACAACAGAAACAUGUAAAUUUGUUUAAAUUGAUGAAUGAAACCUUAUUGUUUUUACAUUUAAAAGUACACAAUUG